rnacentral:lncRNA from 1 species
AAAAAAAAAAAAAAAAACUUACUUUCAAAAUUAGAAAAAAAAAACUUACUUUCGUGUGAAUUGUAUCGUUGACUUGUUGGCAAGUUUUAUCUUCGCUAACGUGAAGUUAAAAUUUUAGACUCGUAUCAAAUAUAAAACUAGAAAAUAAUUGAAGUAAACUUAUCUGUACUGCAUCACCCCAAACCCAAAUUGGAAAGUUUCAUAUACUAAACUUGUAUUUAAUUAAUUAACUAAUCAAAUAAUUAAUUAAGCGUAACAUGUCAUGAUUAGUUAAUUUUUUUUCAUGUAGAUUCUCUAUCUUCCUCUGUUUAUAAAUUAGCCCAUUAAUCACUUUAUCUUGAUCCAUCAAAAUAUCAAUUUACUAAUAAAGUUUUGAAAUGGAGCAAUUUGGGAGGCAUUUAAUGACGGACAUCAACGAUCAAUUUGAGCUCCAAGAUUUCAUCCAUGGCGACAACUUUGAUCAAUAUGUGAAUCUGAUUCGUGGAGGGAACGAAACUCCGAUCUUCAACAAUAACUUUGAUCUCGAUUUCAUGAACGGUUGCUUGAUCGAGAAUCGUGUGGUGGAUCAAAGCUUGGAAUACAUUGUAGAUUCAAAUAUGGUGAUGAAUUCUGAUCCAAAUUCUCUGUUUAGUACAUUGGAGAGUUUCAAUAGCAUCAUGAAAGAAGUUGAAGAUGAAGACGAAGACGAAGAUGAAAACGAGUCUGUAGAGAAUUCUUCUUCCACAACCUCAAAGAAACCUAAGGCAGAUAGAACAAGAACUUUGAUUUCUGAAAGAAGAAGAAGAGGAAGAAUGAAGGAAAAGCUUUAUGCAUUGCGUUCAUUGGUUCCAAAUAUAACUAAGGUAUCAUCAAUUAAUCCUUACAUUCAUAAUAGUUAAUAAGUUUAGACAAUACUUUUUAAGAAAAAAGAAACAAAGGAAUGCAUUUUGAAUAGACAUGAGAAAAUGCAUUAACGAGAAUGAGAUAAUAAAAAUAAAAAUAAUUAUUAUUAUCAUUGUCAUUUAAAUUUUAAGUUUUAUUUAUUCCCAUUUAAUGUGAGAAAUAUUGUGUGAGGUUGGAAUACUAAUUAUUAAUGAUUUUGAAAUAGUUAAAAUCAUUUUUUUCGUAUUUAAAAUUGUGAGGAACAACGACCCCUACAUAUCUCCACAAUGAUAUGAUAUUGUUCACUUUACAUUCUCAUGACUUUUCUUUUGAUUUUUUAAAAUUACUUUUUACAAAUGAAGAUAGUUGUUCUCACUUAUAUCUAUAUAUCCAUGAUCAUCAUUUCAUUCACUGAUUGCAUGUGUAUAACCAUUUAAAUUCGAGUUUGGAAUGAAAUGGUAAAAUAUUGAAUGAAAGAUAUGGAGAACAAUGCAGAUGGACAAAGCUUCCAUCGUUGGAGAUGCAGUGUUGUAUGUGAAAGAGCUACAAAUGCAAGCAAAGAAGCUCAAAUCAGAAAUAUCAGUUUUGGAAUCUUCAAUCAACGAAACACAAAAAGUUCAUAGAGAUCAAACCAAAAAGAAAAUUAUUCAAACUUCAUAUUCUGACCAAUUCCUCCCCACCAAAAUAAUUCAGGUACAUUUUUCAAGUUUGAGAGACAAAAAAUUCGUUCAUGUUUUGUGAUGAAGUUCUUGAACCUAAGCUGGUACUAAUAUACAAUUUGGGGAUGUAUUUUCUUUUAAAGCUGGAUGUGUUUCAAGUAGAGGAAAGAGGGUUUUAUUUGAGGCUAGUUUGCAAGAUGGGUGAAAGAGUAGCCAUGUCUCUUUACAAAGUUCUUGAAUCUCUCACCAGCUUCAUUAUUCAAAGCUCCAAUUUGACUUCUGCUUCUGACAGAUUCAUUCUCACUGCUACAAUUAAUGUAAUUAUUUUUAAUUCAAACAAAUGAUUGAGCCGUUUUUGAAAAGCAAUCGAACACUUUAAACCGAAUAGAAUGCUUAUAAUCUGUUUUAUUUUGUAGGUGAGGGAUUGUGAGGUGGACAUGAAUUUGCCAAAUCUGAAGCUUUGGCUAACUGGGGCACUUCUUAACCAUGGAUUUGAGUUUUAAUCGCAUCUUUCUCCAUUUUUUAACUUUUCUGUUUAACCCUUUAAACUAAUACAGAGAUUGUAAUUAUUUUAAUUGGCAACUUUGUAUUUGAAUUUUGAAAUGGAGGGAGCAACAAUGCAUCAAUGUGUACUUUCGUAUUUUCUUAGAGAUUUGACUUCUUAAAUAAUAAACUUUUCAUCGAAUGCACUCAAUCCCAACUAUUGUACAUUACCAUUGUGCCACAGAAAAAUACAAGAUAAGUGAAUCGUUUUUUCACCAAAGUUGAAGAUUAAAAUUUUGUUCUCACCAUUGUUGAAUUAAACAAAAACAUUACCUACGUAUAAAGUAAUCCAACAUACAAGUUUGAUAAGAGCCACACAAUCUAUACAUCCCAAUAUAAAAACUUCAAGAGCUAAAUGAGAACACUUCAUAUCAACAUCUCUUGUUUUGGUUGAAUUUGAACUCCCAGAUUCAACAUGCAGUUCCAGUGAGGUUAGGAAUGUUGGCCAACAGCAUGGUGUGGGGGAGUUUUCCCAGGAACAUUGUUGGAAUGGUCAUUGCACAGUUGUGUUCCUUCGUGAAUGGAAGUUCAUUAUUUGGGAGGAGGAAUCAACAGCAAUGGGAAAUGGUUCAGCUUUAGAAAUAUCUUUAAAUCAAUGCAAUUGCGUUGAGCAAUUGAAUGUACAAGCUUUGGAGACGAAGGUCAAGUCAAUAUCACUGAACCAAACUUCACUAAACUUCACUUUGGCUCACUUUAAUUCAAAGGUUGUUCAGUUCUGUCACAAGUCACAAGGAAGUAAAACUAAUGACGAUCAGGUGCAAUAUGGAAAACCAAUCCUUACCAGUUCUAGAAAUGUAUAAUCCAUCAGUGAAAUUUAUCCCACAUGUCUGCUCCCCUCUUUGCUAAUGUGUCAUGGAUCAACUGUCAAGACUCUGGAAACAGUAGAUUGAUUGAUCAAUACAAAAUCCUCCCUGCAAUUGAAUCAUGAUUUAUGAUGAUAAUAUAGAGUAGACCAGAGAUAUUAAACAUGACUUUUGACCAACAAAAAAUUACAUUGCCCAAACGACAAGAAAUGUAUGGUUAAAGAUAAAAACCCCAACACCCGAUUGACCACUCCGGCUAAUCAUAGUUAUGUAUGAUGUACAUCACAUUAUAUGAAUAUUAUCAACCAAUAAGAAGCCACUUUCUACCAGGCCAGGAAGGAACUAUCAAUUGGAAUAACUUAACAAUAACAUUGACAGAUAGUUUCAAAUUUUCCAAUAAAAGCAGGACCAAUCACCAUAUACACAAAACCAGCAAAAUGCAAUACCUGGAGGCUGGAAACAGCUUAAUAGGCUGGUCUCAUCCAGUCUGGGAGAAGCAGCUCACAGUCACUGGGUAUUUAUUGCAUGCGUAUCAUUGUGAUAACCACCAAAGAGGAAGUAUCCAGGUAGACACUUCACAUUUUACAUCCGCCGUCAUUGCUUGGGAUAUCUGUUGGUGACAAAUCCAAGCGAAGAGUCCCACGUUAGAAAAGCUUAAAUUAAGUAACUAAUGUCAAGUAAACUAUUUCUAAUCACAUAGAUAUAUAUCCUAAAUCAUGCAGGAGCAAUACACGCAGAUAACAGGAAGUCAGAAACACCCUAGGAGGAAAUGAACAAUCCGGUAUAAAUACUUGAGGUGAGCUUGUGAGUAAAUAAAAUAAUAUGAAGAAAAAAAUCUAAUUAACCAUUGAGCAUGAAAAUACGUCUUACCAACACUUUGAUGAACCUGGUAAAAUAUGCGUGCAUCUCUUUUUUAUUGAAUGACUGAAACCCUUCACACAUGCAGGUCAUACAGAUCAAGUUUCCAAUGUUUAAAAUUCUGAUUAUGUUUGAGAUCCCUCAUCUAGAUUGCCAGACUUUGACAGGAUCUGUAAUGUUGUGCCCCCAAUAAUCCAUGCAGUCGCUUCAGGUUGAUGUUGAAGAGGGUUAAGAGGGUGGAAACUUCCAUCCUCAAGUUGCACACCAUAGACAAAUGGAAGCCUAAGUGUCAGAAAACUAUCGGGGGGCAAGACCAGUUGACAUCCAAAUGUGAACUGUAGUUUCUGCUGCCUUUCUGGAACAGAAGGGGGCAGACACGACUCCUGCAAGUAGAAGAUCAGUCAAGGGUGUAAUUGCACCAAAUAACAACAAUAGACCAUGGUGGCUGAGGGAAUGAAGCAUGUGAAAAGCUAAUUACAAUCGGGCUUGACUACAGAAACUAAAUUUUUAGAGAACUCUUCAAAAAUCACUCGCGUAAAACUAGGAAAAAAAUGCAAUACAGCAUGUUGUAAUUAGAAGCAACUAUAGUUUGGCUUCUUUUAACUGGUAGGGUAGAUAAGAGAAGCUAGUUGCUGUAACUCUACAAGGUUUUUUAUGGCAAAAAUUUGAUGGGUUGUUGAAAUUUGAUAUUACUAUCAAAGCAAGUGUGGGUGAAUUCCGGGAGAAAUUUUGGUCUCUGUUGGUUUUUUAUUUUUAUCUUUAGUUAGAAUUAGUGGGCUUUGCCCAAGGAAAGAUUUACCCUAACUUCCUUUCCUUUUUAUCAUAAAUUUGUUGUCAAAUUAUUUUCUCCUUCGUAUCUUUUGUUGAUAUGAACAAAUAAUAAGAAAGUCAUAUUGGUUUUUCUCUCAAUAUUCGAGUUUCCACAUAACUCAGUGUCUAUUUUCUUUUACCUCUUUUAAUAUGGUAUCACAGUAGGGUAAAAAUGAAAACACGAGUAUUGAUGAAACCAAAUAGAGACAAACGAGACAGCCGCCGCCGCCGCCAUGGAAAAUUUGCUCCACCAGCUUCAAAAGCCGCCGGUGAUCACAACGAGCCCACCCUGGAGCCAGCCAUGCUGCCUAGUGGAGGGAACGAGCCGCAUGCACCACAUCUAUUUGCCCACACGCCGCCAUCCGUCGUCUCCGCAAUUCAGUCAACCUACUCCCAACCGUGGUCCUCUGUCCAGCCUUAGCACCCUCUUGGUCAGCCGCACAUCCACUUACCACCGCUGCAUUCGUUUCACGCCUGACCUUUUUUCACGCAUCGUUACAUUUUGAUCCUUUACAGUCGUCGCACUUCUGUGGUACCAAGAUUGAUCAACUCCAUAAUAAAGCAAGGUUUGAAGUUAGUGAAUCUUUGGCACAAUCCAAACAUCGACUUGUCGAUGUAUUCCAAAAACUCGGUAACUUCGUUCCCUACUUUAUCCUCAAAUUAUAUGACUAGUUCUCUGGCACUAUCUACAAGUGUCUUUCCACGAGAGAAGCUGAAUGACCAUAACUAUAUUUCCUAAUUUCCUUUCCCAUUUUAUCAUAAGCUUGUUAUCUAUUUAUUUUCCCCUUUGUAUCUUUUGUUGAUACGAGAAAAUAAUAAGAAAGUCAGAUCGUGGUUUUUCUUCCGGUACUCGAGUUUCCAUGUAACUUUAUGUCUAUUUUCUUUUAUCGCUUUUAAUAUCUUUUAUAUAUAUAUAUAUAUAUAUAAUUUUAAUAAAUCAUUAUUGUUUCUUUUGCCACCAAUUCCUUAUAGAAAUAAAUGCAACUCACAAGUCCUUACAGAUGAAUCUUCCCUGAGUGUAUUCUUUGUAAAUGCAGUGGUAGAGUAUGGAUCAGCCUCAGCCACCUUAGUGACCAUUCACAAUGAAAUUUUGGUAAUACCUGCUAGGCACUUUCACUUUGGCCAUUCCCUCAAGAAUCUUAGAUGGUUCAGAGGUGCUUUUGUGCGGUCAAAGGUUCAAGAAAAUAGCAAAGGUGCUUUAACUUAAUGAUAGUAGGUCACUCUUGUGGGAAGGGUGGUUUGAGAGAUAUAGGAGAGUAGGAGUCGUUCUAAAAGGAGGAAAAGGUCUGGCAAAAUAUUUGGCAUGGGAAUAUUUUUCUGGCCUUCUCUUGGAAAGUUUCAUCUAAUUCUUUCUAAUAACUACUCCUUAUCCUCCAUUCAGUUGGAGAGUCCUUUUGUAACUCCUUUGACUUUUUGCAAGGGCAGUUACACUCCUCUGUAAAGAUUAUGGUUUUCAGUCAAAUUUUAUAUUUCUAAGUGAAAGAAUGUAUUACAGAGGUAUGGAAUUCAGUCAAAAAAGAUUCAAAACAUCUUUAAAGAGCUUUGGAUACUUCAAAAUUUCUGAAGGGCCAAUCUGGCUCUAUUCUGAAAGCAUACAGCUUGAAUCAAAAUCCUUUCUAGAGUCCUGGUCAAUGAGAGGAAGGAGUUUUAUCCUCGUAAAGCCAAGAUUAAUCCCAUCAAUGGUUUCCUAGGGAAAAUGCUGAUCUUCUCCUAUAAAAAAUUCGGAGUUAAAGUCACUAGAUAGGUGAAGUUUUUACCUUGGCGCUAUAUGGGAAAACCAGUGCACUGCACAAGGUUCAAAAAGCAAUUCUGACUCCAACCUUUAGCCAAAUAGGAAUUCUUUUCAUUAAGGAGUGAGAAAGUCAAACCCACAUUUUCGUUUAUUGUUCCUUCACAAAAAGUAUGUGGCACAAAUUACCUACUGGACCACUUCAAGCUGCCCUGGAGUCAUCCAGGGAGUAUGGAUAAGGCCUUCUUUCAUCUCCUGCUUGGCAACAUUUUCAGAAGGUUUAAUACUUGUGGUCAGUUUAUUUACCGCUAUGGUUUGAGAAUUAUUCUAAAGAGGAACAAAAGAAGUCCUCAGAAAUCAAUGUGUGAGGGGGAUGUAAAGGAUCUUGCUUUCUUCUAGUCACGAGAUGGUAUACUCAGUACUAAAAAUUUUGUAAUUUCUUUCAUUUUCUGUCCAUCCCAACUAGAGACUUUUUAUGAUAACUUGGUUCCGUUACUUCUAUACGAGUUGAGAUUUCUUCGUUUCCUCUCUUCCGUACUUUCCUCCCAACAAUAUAAUUGCUGUAUAUCACAACAAGAAGGGGAAAAACUCCGAUAAAGCAGGGACCAAAGCUGUAACUAAUGCUCAUUACUCAGUGGACAGACCAUUGUAAGUACUAACUUUGAUAGAUUUGAUAAGAGAAAAUAUAGAGAGAUGAGAGAAACAUAUUUUCCAUCCCGAUUAAAUUUUCAAUGCUCAAGCCAAGUCAAACCCAAAGAGAAACAACACAGCAAGGGCUUACUUGAAGUAUAGUUUAAAAAUGGGAACUUUUCUUUUUAAAAGAACAAUUGUUUUCAUUGAAAAAAAAAUAAAAGAACGGGAACAUGUUAGGAUGUGGUAAUAAGAAAUGCUUUUUCUCCUUGUGUUUUAUGAUAAUAAAUCAAAGAAGUGAGUGGAUUUUGAUCACAUUGGAAGGCACUGUUUUUCCCCCUCAACUCCUAAUAUCAGACAUUAAAGAAUGAAACAAACAAGAAAUUUUACAAAUCAACUAAAUCUAUUUUGGACUCUAAUAUAAAUAAUAUAUAGCUCAACAUUUCAAGUUCCAUUCUAAAAUAAUUAGGAAUGCACAUUCAUAGAAAAUCGAGACAAACCUCAAAUUGUAUCACUGGAUGGGUAGCCAAAACUAUUGGAAAGGGAGGUGUCACCUGGCAUCACAUUAUGAGUUAUUUUUUGGUUAUUGAUUAAUCAAAAGAAAGCAGUAUGAUAAAUAAGAUGCUUCUUUACAACAUGUUAGAAACCAAAAUUAUGAAAAUUAUACAUUUCAUCAUGGAAUGUGAACAGUCAAGAGCUUAGUAUGCCAUAGUUCAAACUUUUAAAAAGGUGAACAAAAAAAUGGACCUAAUAUUUCUUAAAAAAGUAAUUUCACGAUGGAAUUUACAAAGAGGGAAGAGGAUCAAAACCCACUUCAGCUCUAUCUAAGAAUUUACAAAUAGCUAGCAUGUGUUUGGAAGUGCUUUUGAAAUGACAAACGUACUUGAGCCAUUCUUAAAAGCAUUUCUCCCCAACAGAGUAACAUAAAGUGCUUUGGGGAAAAGCAGAAAAAUUGCAGUGCUUUCUGUCAAAUGUCUCAUAAAGAGUGCUUUUAAGAAUGUUAAAUUGAACGUCAAAGUGAUAAAUAAUUAAGCAUGUUAGAAAGUACAUUUUGAAAGGCUGUUGCAUCUUGCUCUUGCACUUCAAAGAACACCUUGGGAUGAUGUUCUAUUUCUAUGACAUUGACAAUGAACCCAAACUUAACAGAAUACUAUGUAAAGAUACUACAACUGUAUCUUUGUAUAGAAGUUCUCAAAUGAAUUACAAUAUAAGUUCUUCAACAAAAUACCAUAUAAGGUUCAAAUUCCAGAAAAAAAUUACCAGAACACAGUGGACUAACACUUACGUAAGGGAAAUCUAUAAUCAACAUAAAGACCUCAACGAGACAAACGAUUAAAACAAUGUCGAACAAUAAAACCUGGACCCUUUUGUCUUCUUCCCCGCAAGGAUGAAGCAGCCACCUCCUUUCCAGAAAUUAUCUUCGAUACCUCUCUCUCUCUCCUUCUAUUUAUUCUAACUAACUGCUGGGCCCCACUGUGUGGUGGUCCUGCCCUUUUUUCCUCUCCCCCUGACCCACGUGUAAUUCUGUUUUUUCCCUUAUUCUUCCUACUAUACGUGAUAAGUAUAGGGGGUCUAGCAUAUUAUUAGCUUAUUGCCUAUUCAAAAAAUAAAGUCCACGUAUAUAUGUAAUGUUAAUAUACUAUUAAGUUAUGGUAAUUCAACAUAGCAUUACUUUUACCACCUAUAUUUUUUUUUUUAAAAUGAGACAAGCUCCUUUAUUAUUAAUAAACUCAAAGUACAAGAGAGCUAUACAAUGAGAAUAAUAGGGAAGCUAAGAAAUGGGGGAGAGAGGGAGAAAGGAUCAGUAGGUGCACCCGAACAUCUCAACUAGGUUGACACCCCCAUAGCACCCUCAUCAUAUCCAAAAUACAAAGAACAAGAACAAUACUAAGGUCAUGAAAAGACCAAAGUAAACCAACGGCUUUAGGAUCCUAAUGAAAGCAAUGAAUUUAAGAAUAAAUUCUAAAAAAAAUAGUAAAAAAAAUUAAAAGGAUUAAUUGAGAGGGUGAAAUAAAUAUAUAUGAUGUUAUUUAUUAACUUCUAGAUGAUUAUUGUCUUUAGUACUACUUGGUUAUUUAUUUUCGUGCCUAUUAUCAAUAUUCCUUCAAUUUAAAUCAAGGCUUAUCCCUCACGCUGCCUCAAGGCUUAUGUUUAAUCCUACAAAGGAGAGCCUUGCGACCAUUUUAGGCUUAAAAAAUACUAGCAAAAAUAGAUGACCAGGAUAAAAAGAACCAAGAUAAGAAUGCAAAAACAAUAAUCUCCUACAACUUUUCCGCAGGUUCCCCAAUGGUUUUAAAGCAUCUUCUCUUCUUGGUCAAAUCAAUCAAAGGACACCAAAAAUCAAAACCAAUAUAAAGUUUAUGGCAUCAUCAAAGAAAGCAUACACUGGAAAAGCGUAACACAGCUGCAACAAUACUUAAGAGAGAACUUAAGGCAUUAGAGAGGGAAAAAUAAAAAUAAAAAUUGUAAAAGAAUGGCGUACCAUGAAAAUCCUUUGAAGUUGAGAUAUUGUGCCAGAGAACUUAACAUUUGGGGGAUCUUUCUCAUUCUUUGAGAGCUUGCAAUGUGGGCAGUUCAUGAAAAUUGGUAGGUCUCGGUUCAACAUGAAGAAACCAGAUCCAUUGUCCUCACUGCCAAUAGACUUAACACCUUUUUCUAGGUCCUUCAUAGAAUUGGAGACCGUUGCACUAACAGAUGUCAGAUUGUUUGCUGUCAUUCUUCUAAUAUUGUUUGACUGGUCAUCUGAAUACAUGCUACCACCGCUAACUGCAUCCUUUAACUUAUCUAAACUUCUUUGCUUACUUGAGCCAGUAGCAUUUGCUACACUAACACUAUCGCGAGCUUUACCAUGACGAUCGCUUUUACCAUAUUUCAGAGGAUCAACCAUAUUGCAUGCAGCACCUUGCGCAUGAGUAUGAGAUUCUUUAAUUGUGGCAAAAGGCGAUCCAAGUUCCUUAAGAUGGUCAGGAUUUAGUAGGAAGCGGUGCCCAUGAGGGCAUUCAUGUUCAAAGCCAAUAUAUACAAGUGUUUGCUUCAGAAGAGGGUUUUUAGUUUUUUCAAGACUAUUGGCAUUCAUCGGAACUACAUUAGUACCUACCUGUAGAAAGGCAUUGCUAUCUAAAUGCUCAUUGUUGCUAAUCUCAUUUGAGUUUUUUGAAAGCUUAAUAACAUUUUCCAAGUUCCUUGAGCCAAGGUUAUCGACAGUAACAUAGCCUCGUUCAUGACUAUUAACAACCUUACUUUGCUUGAUACGCUUAUCAAUAUCUGAUGAAGAAUGUUUCCUCUGCUGGAGGGGUGGAAAUCGAACAUCUACACCUGAUGAUCCAGCCACAACCUCAGAAAAAGGUUUUCGCAGGGUAAAGUUGGGAAGGAUUCUACCGCUUGUGCUUUUUUUAUCUUCAGCUUUAAUGUUACCUGUGAAAUUUCUUUCAUUAUGGAUUCCAGACUGUAAAUCCCUUGACUUCAGUUGUGCUACAUCUGCCAUCUUUGUGUUUACAUUUACAUUAGGUUCAACCUUAGAGUCUACGAGUGACUUAAUUAAGGAACCAUGCAACAUUAUAUUAUCUGUAAAAUCGAUUGGAGUCUUCCUGAUUCGAGUACUAAUUUUCCAUUUGAGUAGGAACUUUUGAGUCAGACAAAAUCCACUCUGGAGUAAACCUUUUGAAGGAUCGUAGUACUUUGCACCACCAACUCGAAUCAGAGUCCAUGAUGAUGGUUGAAUGGGUUCUGUCAUGCUUACUCCUGGGAACUGUACAAUUGGAAGAAAAUUGUCACAGUCAGCAAAUCGGUUGAAAGUAACAUUUGCUGAUUCAAAAUCAAAAGGAUCAGAUCGUAGUCGUCGUGAACGGCCACAAGCACAAGCAUGUAGGAAGACAUAUCCACUUGAAUGGUUUUUUGGCAUGGUUUCUAAAGGCGAACCUCCAUUCUCAGUGCUGUGUCUCUGAUGCAUACAUGGUUUUCCAGUCAGACUAAUAGCAUCACACAGCUGCCUCCCAGAAUUCCAAAUGGAUUUGCAUUCUUCCUCCAACCUUUUUGCGAAACGUUGCACUGCAGGUCCCUUAACCAUUGAAUGGAAAGCAAGCAAAGCCUUCUCCAGGUGGGCUUCAUGCUGUGAAGUAGGGUAACACGCAGGUAAUUCUCUUAGAUAAACCUCUUUUGCAGCUGGCAAUGCUCUUUCACACCAUGAAGUUGAAAACUUCAUAUUUAAACCUUUACCACUUUCCAACCAAGAUACAGCAAUAUCUAAAGGAUCCAUACCCUUCAAAGCAUUUCCCUCAAUCGAUGAAGAAUGAAUGUGCCGAUGACGUGGUUUUCGUUUAUUAAUUUCCACUUCAUCUAUGCAACCACCUUUUGCAGAGAGAAUCCCCUGGAGAAUUUGUUGACUUGAAGACAACCAAAUUUCCAUACUUGGUAGUUCAGGAGUAGUAAAAGUUUUUCCAGAUGCAACAGAUGCUGCAGCUGCAGCAGCUGCAACAGCGACCAUGCCAACCCCACCAGCUGAACCACUGCUUGCACUAUGAACCAUUCCACCUCUACCCCUUAGAAUAUCAGACUGUCGAUAAAUAAAUUCCUUUAGAGAUACUAUAUCCUCUUUGCUAGCACUUUGACCAAGACUUUCAAGAAGAAGAGAAUCAGAUGUAGUUUUUCCAUUCAAAACAUCUUCCACAAGGCUUGUGGCAAACUCCAGAGACUCAGCUGUAUUAUUUGUUGACCUAUCCACCAGAACAACAGCUUUUGAUGCAUCAAGUGAAAACAAAGGUGCAGAACUUGAGGCGCCUCCACCUCUAGACCCAGCAUGACUGGUGUCAGAACCAGUAAGCGUUCGACAUUUCUUGAUUAGAAAACGAAUUUGUGCUUCAAGAGAUGACUGCAAUUUCUUCCUGAAACCACCUUCUGAUUUGCUCACAGGACGGGCAAGCACAACUACAGAUCCAGAACCUUUAACUGGCACAUUUGGCCUAGAUAUACUGUCUGAACUUGGAGAUUGAUUAAGUGAUGCUGUAUCUAUUCCCUCCACAUUGGAACUAAUCAUUGGGCCAUCUAAGAAGUCAUCAACGAAAAUAAAAAGUAUGACUGGAGUACACUGCCCAGGAAACAAUGAGGUAUAAGAACCUAAACCCGACAUUACAGAGAUGCCGGAAGCAUUGCGUGUUAAGAUAGAACCACUUCUAAUUGGAGAAGAAUUAUUAGACACAGGUGCUGAAGCAACAGACCGUGAGGCAGAUGAAGACUGCAAUCUAGAUGGCAAUGGUGGUGUAGCACGAGAUUUUACAAAUGGAGUUAAAACAUGCUUAGCAGAUUGUAAAGCUCUAAACUUUUUCAAAAUACUAGUAUCAAACCGCGACCCCUCCUGAAUAUAUAUGAUUACAUGGCAAACCUGCACCAGUAAUUGAGUUAAUCACAACAUUUCGAUGAUACAGACAAACAAUCCAAUUCAAACGAUCUUGAAGAAAAUAAAUGAGAAAUUGAGAAGCACUCACAGAGAACAUAAAAAGCAUUCCCUGAAGAUCGCCAAAAUCAUGCUCCUGAAUCUCCGAAUCAUAAUCUGCUUCCACAUCAAACACGGAGCUCCUGUGGGAAGAAAAUUGCAAAAAGAGAAUGCCCCUUUCCUCCUCGUGGUAAUAACUAAUUCGUCGCCGCUUGAACCAUUCUCGAACUUCCUCUUUCUCAACAUCUAAUUUCUUAUCCAAUUUACCGGAACCAAAGACAUUGGAAUCAAUAACCCGAUUGAUGAGUUGAAUCGAAUCAUCGGGUCUCCUCCCAAUGAAACCGACGACAACGACGGUGUCGGAAAAGCGAGGAAGGGAUGGCAACGGCGAGGAAGGAGGAAAUGAAGUAGAGGGUUCCGGUGAAGCAGAAUGAGGAGGGAGAGGAGUUGGGGAAGGUGAAGAGGAAGAGGAAGUGGGAGUUGAUAAUGGUGGCGGGCGGAUAAGUACUCGGACGGAGGAGGAAUUGGGUACGUCCAUGAAUGAGAGAAAAUUUUGAGCUUUCAGAUGCAACUGAAAACUGCUUCACUGCUUUCACUUCCGAUGACCGCCGAGGCGGGGAAACUUUAAUUUUUCCUUGCCCUUUUCCCUUCUCCAAUAUUUCCCUUUUACAUUUCAUUUGCAAAAUUAUUUAAAACCACACCAUUCUAAAUAUAGCAAUAGCAUACCAUACAUUAUAUUUCAUAAAUAAUAAUCUAUCUUUAUCUUCUUUCCAUUUUCUCAACAAUAAAUCUUACUAAUCCUAAAUUAAGUUUAAUGGCAAAGUUUUAAAUUCUAUCCAUAAUAGAAAUGGAGAGCAAGACUAAGCGAAGAGAAUAAGAAUAAUUUUGGUAAUUUCAUGUUGGACGACGAAAGAAAGCAAAACAAAUGCCAAAAAUGUCUAAAUGGUAGCUCAAAUUUCAUUUAGAUCUCCCAUCCCAAAUGGUAUCAUUUCUCUAAUUUUAAAUACAUCACACUUAUUACAAUAUUAUGGAUUGGUUAAACAAAGUAAAUUACAAUAGGACUAAAUUUAUAAUUAAACCUCUUAAUUGGGUUUGAGAGAAGACCUUUGAAGCCACGAGGGGUCGGGUGCGAAAGAGACAUAUCAUAUAAGCAGUUGGUUGCUGUAAAGUGGCGCACUCAUAUCUACUGGUAGCCUCCAUUUUCAAUCUCUCAUUAUCCCAUUAUCAUCGACAGUACCCCAUAGCUAAUGCAAGCAGUUCUUGCAGCUAUGGCCGCACAAUCACUUCUAUCUGUUUCCCUUUCCAACUACGUCGCAUUGCCCCCAUUCUCCAAUUCUUCAUCUUCAUCUUCUCUUUCUCUCACCUCCUCUUUCCAUGGCGCCUCUCUCAAACUCCCUCGCCACUCCCUCUCCCUCGCUGCCUCCGUUGCCCCAAAACCCCUUGCUAUCGUCGCUGCCACCAAAAAAGCUGUCGCUGUCCUCAAGGGAACUUCCGCCGUUGAAGGCGUUGUCACGCUCACCCAAGAGGACGAUGGUCUGUACACUUCUUACUGAUUAGUUUUUGAUUUACCCUAAGACUUGAGGAGGGUCUGAAUCAAUAUUUAGUAAUUUGCUUGUUUUUGGCUGUUUGAGUUAAAUGGGUGCAGGAAUUGGAAUAGAAGUGGGUUUUUUAUGCGUCUGGGUUAUGAGAUUGAUAUUGGCUUUGAUUGAAAUGUGAUACGUAUAAAGUGGGUUCUUAAUUUUUGCCUGCAUUUCGUUGUUCUUGACAUUUUUUUGUCCUGAUGUAUUGACACGCACAUAAGUUGACUUUUAACUUCAGGAGCAUGAUUGUAUUGAUUUUGUGACGUUUCCUUUCUCCCAGGGUCUGUUGUAACUAUGUUUAUUCUAUGACCAAUGAACUUGUGAUGACUUUUCCCCGUCCGAAAAUUACAAUUUAUAAGCACAAUAUUAGUAAUAGUAACAAAGGUAACAAUAAUGAAGAUGGCAAUGGUAACGAUAGUAGUAGUACUAAUACUGUGAUUCUGAAAAAUGUUGUAUUGUUUCUAGGUCCAACAUCUGUCAAUGUGCGUAUUACCGGGCUCACCCCAGGUCUUCAUGGAUUCCAUCUUGUAAGUAAUUGCACUGAGGCUGCCAUCAUCCAUGGGCUUUGUUGCAAAUUCAACCAGCUAGUUGAAUGUCUGAAAUGUUGUUUUAAUCAAUACCCCUUUGUAUUUCUUCGUGUAGCAUGAAUUUGGAGACACAACAAAUGGAUGCAUUUCUACAGGUAGUGCAUGAUCCCAUGUUCAUUUUUGAGCUAGAUAUAGCAUCAAGAAGUUCUUGCCAGUGUGGUUGUAUUUUUGUACAAGUUCAUCCGUGCUUCUCAUUUGUUGUUAUUUAUUUUCAACUGUAGGAGCACAUUUCAAUCCUAACAAGUUAACGCAUGGUGCUCCCGAGGACGAAAUCCGACAUGCGGGUGACCUGGGAAACAUAACUGCCAAUGCUGAUGGUAUAUGCUUUUCUUCUUUCUUCUUUGAUAGAUGCAUCAUUUUAUGUUUCAUAAAUUCAUAGCUUCUAAUUCACCGUUGCAAUGUUUUUUGAUAUACAGGAGUAGCAGAGGCAAUCAUUGUAGAUAACCAGGUGCGACUUUGAGUAUUGUUUCUAUUAUUUUAUCCAUAUAUGUCAUCAAUCAUCAUCACAACUCACAUACUCAGAACCACCAUGAAUGGACAUUGUAAUAAGUAAUAACUAUUAAUGUUGGUAGUGGCAGUGUUGCUGGGAGAGGUUUUUGUGUAUAUGAUACAUGCAUAUCUAUCCCUUCAGACUGCAGCUACCUUAUUAUCAACAAAUUUAAAACAAAAUAAUGUUCAAGCCUUUAUUUUAGAUCUACCCCUCUAACAUACCCAGUUAUUAAUUCCUUUAUCUGUAGAUUCCUCUUAGCGGCCCCUAUUCUGUAGUUGGAAGAGCCUUUGUGGUACAUGAGCUUGAGGAUGAUCUAGGAAAAGGUAUGUUCAAUUCAUUGUUUCCGUUUAAUUACAUGUUUGACACGUACUUUUCUCUUGUCAUUUGAUCAACCUACUUAAUCGAUUUAUCAUACAGAGAUACUGACUAAGAGAAUUUAAUUUAAUUAAUUUAUUUUCUUGUUAUCUUAUCUUCAUUAAACUAAACAGAUUAAGCUAUUAGUAUUAUUAAUUCAAUUAUGGAAAAAGAGAUUUUAAUUCUCUUUAUAGAUAGAGCCUAUUAGCCGUUGAUAGCGACAUUUGCAUUAUUUAACUGGGGUUUUCUUUCUUCCACUAUCAAAUUUAAAUUUUUCUGGUUAUGAUUAUGUAGGAGGUCAUGAACUCAGUUUAACCACUGGCAAUGCGGGUGGAAGAUUGGCAUGUGGUACGCGGACUAAAAGAUCUUUUUUCUUCUCUCAAGAGUCCAUAGUUCCUUUUUUCUCCACACUUCACUACUAUAUUUCUAAGAUAGCUUAAUUUGUUCAUUUUAAAUAAGUGAUAAACAUGGGUGAAUAAACUUCAUUGAGCACUUCCUCACGAAUUUCAUUCAUAUCUCAUAUCAUCCUAACCUCUGCUCAAAGAUGCAAAGAGAUCCAUAGCUUCAUUUAAAUUAUUUAUUCCAGGUCUUGUGCUGUUAAGUGUUAUGCAUACCUCAUGCCAUGUAUGUGAUUUGUUAAACUAAUUUGCUUUGAAUACUGAUUGUACUCUGCUCAAAGAUGCAUGAAGAGGUAUAACUUUAUUUAUAAUUCUUAGUCCAGGGCUUUCUCAUAUCUAUUUUGUUUUAAUGCAUACCUCAGGCCAUGUGUGUGAUUUGCUAAACUAAGUUACCUUUGCAUACUGAUUGACCUCUGCUCAAAGAUGCACGAAGAUUUAUAACUUUAUUUAAAAUUCUUAGUCCAGGGCUUUCUCAUUUCUAUUUUAUUAUGUAUACCUCAGACCAUGUGUGUGAUUUGCUAAACUAAGUUAUCUUUGCAUACUGAUUGACCUCUGCUUAAAAAGAUGCACGAAGUUUCAUAACUCUAUUUAAAAAAAUUUGUCCAGGGAUUUCUUAUAUCCAUUUUGUUGUUAUGUAUACCUCAGGCCAUGUGUGUGAUUUCUUAAACUAAUUUACCUAUGCUCAAAGAUGCAUGAAGAUUCAUAACUUUAUCUAAAAUUCUUAGACUAGGGCUUUCUUAUAACCAUUUUGCUGUUGUGUGAUUUGCUAAACCAAGCUACCUUCGUACUGAUUGACCUCUGCUCGAAGAUGCAAGGAGAUCCAUAGCUUUAUUUAAAUUAUUAGUUCAGGGCUUUCUCAUAUUCAUUUUGCUGUUAUCUAUACCUCAUGCCAUAUGUGUGCAUUUUAAGUUGCAAGGCAGGUAAGUGAGUAAAGUAUAUUUCAAUUAUCAGGCCCUUCGUGUAGGUAGAUAUGUGGUCUAAAAUUAUCUGCGCUGGCUAUUUUUCUGCUCUGAUAGCCUGGCAUGACACUUUUCCACCUUUUUCUAGAAGACGUACUUUUGAAUAGAAGCUAGAAAGUAGAACCUACUCAAGUUAAAAGAGUUCUGCAGAAAGAAUCAGCAUAACUCAUGUGUAGCUGUUAAUAAUCUCUUAAAUUAGCCACUAAUCAACUGCAAAUCUAUUGCUUUGCUCGAGUGCCAUUGACUGGCAAGAGUAAAAUCCAGAAAUUCCCUAUUAGCUUCUAAGAUGUCUAAAUAUUGUUAACUUGUAAAAUAUCAACCAGAUUUGUGCUAAACUGCUAAUUGGCCGAUACAACAGAUUCUCAAUCUUGUUUUCAUCUUUGCAGGUGUUGUCGGUCUUACUCCUGUGUGAUGGUGACAAACAAACUGUGUAGCCUAUGAGGUCGGUACGAGGUAUAUGGAAGCACUAUUAUAUUGUCAACCACUUUUCCACAGUCUCGAGUUUCUUUUCUUUUGUUCAGCAUAUAAAUUGUAGUCUUGGGAAGACAGUUUCUUCACAUACUCAUUGAUACCUGUUACUGUGCUUUCCAUUAGCUGAAUAAAAUUGACCUGCUGCUUGAGCUAAUGUGUUUGAAUAAAGAUUUGUUAACUUCAGAGACUUUUGAAGAGAUAUGAUGUUGACAAUCCCUUUCACCUUGGCUGGAUAUCACACCGCACUCCUUUCCUCCAUGUUUGAAAUCUUUUAGAACUAUAGUUAUUAAAAUAAGUAAUUGCAAUUCAAUUUGAAGUUUAGUGUAUGGUUCCACUUGCAAUUCAAUUUCAUGUGGAUUCCAAGUACUUGGCUCCAAGUUCAUUACAUGUGAAGGUAGCAAUCCUUUGUUGUGGAUGAGACACGUGGAAGGUGUUUUUGAUGGCAAUGUAAUUCUUGUUGGAAAAGCCAAACAAAACCAUAACCUGCACUACCAAGCAACCUAAAAUCCCAUUUACAUUACAAGAAAACAAAAAUCUUAAUGAUAAUAACAAUAAUUCAAGCAACCUGACCCUAAUUAGGCAACCACUCAUGUCCCCUUCAUUUGUUCAUAAACAUUCAAACACUUUUUGUAGCACCAAAAAGCUUUGAAUAUGAUUAAGACCUGUCUCCUUUUCCUUUUUGUUUCCACUCUCUUCUUCUUAAUCAGUGAGUAGAUUAAUCCAAAUAUACUCUUAAUUUUGUGCAACUCGGUUCUAGUAGACUUUAAUUACAUACUUUAACCAACCAAAACAUCAACAGUAUUUCGUAGAGAUUAGAAAAUGAAGUUAAAUAAAAGUGAAAGGAGAGGAGUAAACCGAAAGAAAGAAAGAAGAGAAGAGUAAAGAAAAUAGGUAUGAGUUGCAAAGAAGAGGAAAUGGAGUGUUUUUAAGUGAAAUGGUUGCUUCAACAUAAUAUGUGGUUGGAGUUACACUUCACGAGGGGGGCAUGGAGUUAGAUUCACGAACUGAAAGACAACCAAAGCCUAACUUUAGGCUUGCAGUUGGCUUCCAGUCAUUUUCUUGCACGAAUAUUGCUAUCUUAACUCUAUUUUUGCAUACCAUUCAUUUUUCUUUUCUUAUUAAAACAAUCUUAAUUUUUUUCUUUUUCUUUUUCUUUAAAAAAAGGAUCACUCAAAGCUCUUUUUUAGUGCAUGUAAGUUGAGGUAUGUGCAAAACAUAUAUAUAUACACUAUUGAUUGAUAGAAAAAAAAAAAAGUGAAUUAUUAGCCAUAUUAGAUAAUCAAGCUUAAAAAAUGAUUUUUGGUCUUUAAUUUUUAAAUUUGUUUAAAUUUAGUUUUUCUUAAAGGUAUUGUAAUAAACUUGAGUAGGAGAUUUAAAUCCAAGAUCUUUUAUUCUCAAGUACUUCUAUAAUUAUACUGAUUUAAAUUUAGAUUUUAUACUGGAUAAUUUGUGAAAAAUAAUAGAGAUAAAUAUAAUUUGCAUGUAAUGCUUGAAAUUUGUUAUAACUGCCCCAAUCUACUUCUCAAACUCAUCAAUAUGACCAUCCUAUCACACCCACACCACUAAGAAUAGAGAGUAAAGGGAUUUAAUGGCAUAAAGUGUUAAAUUCAACUUUCUCAUUAUACAAAAAAAUAAAACAUUAUAUUAUUAAUUAUAUGAAAGCACAUUAUUAUUUUUCUUAAUCCACCCAUUUAGGUACGAUUAGAACUAUGAAUUUCAAUCACUACCUAUACUAUAUUCUCACCAAAUCUUAAAGAUUACAUACUACUAGUUUACUAUAUCAAAAGUCGAUAGUUUCAUCUUUCACUUCUCAAUUAUUAAAAUAAUUUAAAAAAUAUAUGAAAAUUAAAUAAAAAAGAGUAAAAGAAUAUAUAUCUAACACACUUCCAACUAUCAUGAAACUAUUGACUAAAUGAAAUUAAAAUCAAUGUGGUAAUACCAUGAAUUGUUGGGAAGAGGUUUUAUUUGACUAAUUCAUUAGAGACACAUAAAGCAUUAAAAUUCUUUCAUAUAUCAAUAUAAUUUAAUUAAGAUCAAUAUAAAUAUAAAGAAGGUUAAUUUAGGUUUAGUGAUAAUUAAAUCAAUUUUUUUUUUCUUUCAAAUUAAGUAGUUGAGAUCUAGUUAGAAGGAUAUAAAAGAAAGUGGCUUGCACAAUACUCUCCUUAUUUGGCUAUCUUAUAAGAUAAGACAAUGGCUUUUGAGUAAAGCUAUGAAGCAUUUUGAAAAAUGCUUCUCUCUUUCUUUUUAUAAAUAUACACACAUAGUAAUAUAGAAACUUAUAUAUAUAUAUAUAUAUUUACAUUAUUGGAUUGGUUAAGUGUCUAUGGAUAAAUGAUUAUAAAAUUGGGUAUGACUUUCUUACAAAAUUUGGUCCUUUUUUUUAGAGUAAGCAAAGUCUCUAUCCAUAUGCUUCAAAAAUAAGAUAGAAAAGUAUACAACCACUUUUUUUUUUCUCCAUAUAUCUCUCUUAUAUAUAAAGAUUAAAAAAAAAAUUAUUUGUUUCAUACUUUAGGAUUAUAUUAAAUUAAAUGUCUACAUGCAUGUUUAUAACUUUACUUAUUAUUAAGCAACAACUAAGAAUAACUUAGUCAAAAGGUCAAAUUAAUCACAUCAUCUUGGUUAGCUUUUCAAUUAUAUUUGGUAUAGCUAACUUAUAGCAAUUAUAGUUUGCUUAUUUUUCUAAUUAGAUCCAGAAGUAAAAUCUAGAUGCUAAAAUAAUUACAAUUAAUUGACGGAUAGAAAAAAUGAAAUGGAACUUAAACUUUCCACUUAGCUAACUAACUAUUUUAAUAUUAUAAUUGUUUGUAAUAUAUAUUAUACAAAGAGUCUAAAGUUGAGAGGUUCAACUUUAACUAAACUUGUUCGUGCAUACAUACACAUAUCAGUUAACCUAAGCUCAUGUUUGGUUAUAUAUUUUAUUUUUAUUACUAUGUCGUAUGUCAUUUAAGAGUUCAUCGAUUUAGAAAGUCUAUACUUGUGGAAAAUAAAAACCUAAGCUUAGGUAAAGUUUAACCUUAGGUAGUGUUAUGUUUGGGUUUAUAUUUAAGUGCGAUUAGUAAAUCAAAAAAGUUAAUUAUUGUAUAGUACAAUUAACUAUAUAUAUAACAAAACGUCAUGAAAAAUUGGAAGUAAUUUAGUUUAUUUUUAACUUGGAAACACUUCUGUAUGUUAGUCAGACCGUUAAUAUUUACUUACAUUUUUCAAUAUAUUUUAAAAGAAAUUACUUUUAGAAAGUAACUAAUUAAAAAACAACAAUUACAUUAUAAAUUACCUCUAUCUCUAACUUAAACAAAAUAGAACUUAAUUCCCAUACAUUAUAUAAUGGUUAAUUUUCAUAAAUAGAACGAUAAAAUAUUUACAUCUAUAGAAUAACUUAAAGAAAAGCUUAAUAUUUUUUUUUUGUUUUUACUCGUUUACAACUAUUUUUUAAUUUCGAUUCUUUCUCUUCUUCUCUAUUUUUUUUUUUUUUGCAUCAUUCUCUAUCCUCUCUUUUUUAUAAUCGCCAACAAUAAUUCUUCUUUCAUCGUUUUUCUUCUCCUCUUUUACAAUUUUUUUUCUUUCCAUUAUCGUUUUUCUCAUAACUUUUCUUUUAUUUUUUUUCAAAUUGCUUUUUGGUUCUAGAUUGUGUACCAAAUAUACAUAUACGUACAACCAAAUUUAAUCGAAUUAUUAAAAAAAAUCUUUUAGAUUUGGCUUACAAAUUUAAACGAUUCUAUAUUAAAUCUAAACCUAAAAAAUAGCCAAAUUUGAGUGUACCAAAAAUAUUUUUAAAAAAUCAUUUAGAUUUUAUUUUAGAUUUAGAUUUGAUGAUAUUCUCAAAUUCUAAAGGAUGAUUUUCCAAAUUCAUUAUGCGCUUGAUGUCAAUUAAUCGAUGACAUUUUUGGAUUUUUCUAUAUAGAAAUAAAUAUUAUGGGCUUUGCUCAUGUUUUUAAAAAAAAGACUCCUAUAAAAAUUAUAAUUUAUCCAUUUUAUAUAGGGGAUUUAAAUUCUAACUUUUUUUUUCAAAUCAUGCAAACUAAUUAUCCAAAAUUAAUCAAGUGAUAAACAUCAAUUUAAACAUAUUUCAAGUACUUAAAGUAUUAUUGAUUAUCAUUUCAAAUGUGCAAACUUUUCCAUGAUAGAAUGGUUGAAGUAAAAAAAAGUAUAAAUAUAGUUAUAUAGUUAUAUAGUCUAUAUUAAUUAUAUAUAAUGUUUCAUAUAAUUAUAUUAUAUGUAUCGAUGGAUAUAUAUUAUAUUGAGUGAGUAGUGAUGAGUUAAGUGACAGGCAAUGAAGAGAAUUAUAUUUAUUUAGUGAGAGAGAAUUGAAAAGGAAGUGGGUAGCCAUAUAGUUCAAGUUGCAAGAAUGGGUUUAGUGACAAUUCACAAAUACACUGACCUCACAGCUUACAAAACUUGGAUCCCAUCAAUAUGAACAAAGACUUCCCAUUUCAUUUUACACCAACAUUAAUUACAAUCAAAUCCAUACAUUUUUUAUAUUAUAAUAUAUAUUUUUUAAAAUAUAUAUAUAUAUGAUCAAAUGAAUAAAACUAUAUUGACAAAUUCAGUAAAAUCACUGUAAUUAUAAAUGUCUUUCCUAAUAUUGUUAUUUAUAUAUACAUGUAUUUCACAUUAUUAUUGUUAUUAUUAUUAGUUUGUAGAAAUUGACUCAUACCUCAUCUAAGCUUACGGUCCCCUCCCCAAUAAUGGUUAUUUGAUGCUUAAUUAAUGACCCCUUUUUAUACUUAUGUGGCUCUCAGUUUUAAAAAUAUUAUAUGAUAUAUAAUACCAUUUUAAAAUUAUUAUAUUGAUUAAAAUAAACUACAAUUAAACUAUAACGAACCAUUUCGGAUAACAAUUUCACAUUAACGUCCGUUUUUUUUAUAAUUUGUGUUUAAAAUAUAAAUUAUUUUAGUUUGUGUUAUAAAUAUCACGUGAGUUAUUUUAGUUUUAUAACAAAAAGUAAAAAAAAUAUCUAAAUAGUGUCCAACAAAUGAAAGUUUUAAUAUGGUGUUUACCGAAACUAAUUGGGGUUAAUGAGAGAUUUAUAUUGAACAUGUUUUCAUGAUUAAUUAGAAUCUAAUUUUCAAAAUGGAAAUUAUAAGAUUUGCUGGUUUAAUUGCUUUCAUAUUUUUUUGUAUCGGUUAGGUUAGAAAAACACAUGAACUUCUAAUCCACUUUUAGAAACAAAAUUGAAUUUUAAAAAAAAUAAAAAAAUCGAAUGGUGUUAUCAAAACGUCAAUUAACGAUUAAACUUUGUUUUUCUCAUAUACACAUAAUUUUAUGUUACUAUCAUUCCUAAUGUUAUCCACUCGUCUUUUUCUUUGACGAAGAAAAUAAAACAAACAAAUAAUCAAAUCGUUUUUGCAAAUUCACACAACAAUGGUUUCAAAUAUUUACAAUAAGAAAGAAAGGGAAAAGAUAAAAGAUUCAAAAUACCAAUAAAAUAAAAUAUGAUUUUUACCUCUCAAAUUUUAUCCAAUUUCUAUUUUUGAACCAUCUCUUUAAAAGCUGUUUUAAGUUUUUUUUUUUUAAGUCUACUUUUAAUUUUGAUCAUUGAAUUCUAUCAAACACUAAUUAAUCUAAAAUUAUCAUCAAAAUAAGGCUUUGGGAUAUUAGAACCACUCUUUAUUAUUAAAUUCACUACAAAAAGAACACCUUCUCUAUUUUCUGCCAAUUAAUCCCACUUGUUAAUUUCACAUCUUAAUUAAUUAGGUAUUUCAAAUUCCAUUAGCUUAAAAUUUUCACCCAUUAUUUAUUAUCAAAUAAGAUUUUGUAUUAGAAAAAAAAAAAACCAUGUUGAUUAGUUUAAUUUUGUGGUUUAGUUUGGUAUUAGUUCAAUUCAUUGCAACUGUUUUGACUUUUUUUAGAAACCAAACCCCAUAAUUGUUUUGUUUGUUUAUUUAUUCAUUUAUUACACAUAUAUCAUCACAAGAGCUAAGGAAUUUGACUACUAACCCAAUUUAAUAAGCUUGAAGUUUCAAAAGUUUAAGAAAAGUUUAGGAUUGAAUCCUACAAAAUAAUAUAUAAAUCAUAUGUACAUAUAGCAAUUUUUGUUUUAUUUAUGUGCUUACUUAUGAUUAUGAUUGAGAAAUGUUAGUAUAUCGUCGGACAAAGUCGUACAAGUUAGCUACAUCAUGAAUAUAUAACUUACAAGCGAAGACGACAACUAUCUUUAUUCUUUUAAGUAUAAGACUUUUAAGAGCGAUAACACAAACUAAAAGUAAAGUCACGAGAGUUUAUACCUAAAGUGAAUAAUGUCAUCAAUAUAAUUCUAAAAAAUUUAGUGGGUUGUUUUGUGCCUUAUAACCAACAUCAAAGUCAUGCCUUUAAAGUCUAACAUGGCAUUACCAAUAGAAUCCUUAUAUAUUAAAUAAAGAUGCAGUGAAAUUUCGAAGGUAGGUCAUAAACAGGGUGAUAAUUGUUAGAUGAGAUAGAUGUCUAUUCAAAGGAGAGUCGAUAGUCCAUUGUUUUGAUAGAAUCAAGAUUAGUUGGUUACGUCACCACCAUUAGGUUUAUACCUAAAGUUAACAUUGAAAAUAUUUCAUCCCUAACCUUAAUUAAGAGUCCCUAUAUUAUUAUUUAGAUAGAAUCAAUAAAGAUACUCUCGGAUUGCUUAAUUGAAGUACAUAAAUCUAACCAAGGGAGAAAAAUCUCAUUAGAACUUUAUUAAUACAAAGUAACAAAAGCCUUAAAGCUAUUGGUUGAGUUGGGUGAGCUUUGAUUCUAACCCACUCAAAGUAACCCUCAUUUGGCUGUUAGGCUUUGUGAGUUUUCUAAUCAUAUAUACAUACAUAUAUAUAUAUAUAAUUUUCCCAUUUUCCUAUUUUCCUAUUUUCCCACAACCACCAAUUUAUUUGGUUUACCCUCCCCCAUUUUUCAGGCACAUCUUCUCCAACAAAUUAAAAAUAUACAUAAGAUUUAUUCAUGAUACAAGAACACUCUCUUGAAAUAUAUAUGUAUAAAUUGUUGCCUAACUUUGUAUAUUAUUAUACAAAUUUGAGUAAGUAGUGGUAGUAAGGUGGAGCAGCUUAAAGUCAAGUAUGAAUUGAAUUUGUAUUUAUGUACAACGCAUCCAUACCAUUGGUGGGAAGACUUAAUUAAAUUAAUUGGUGCCGUCUAAUCAUAGGGUUAUGCUAUCAAAUAAUGAAUCAAACCACAUAUUUCCUUUUAUUUUAUUAAUUACAUCGAUUUGAUAAAUAAAAUAAGUGUAGAGUCGACCAACUUUUUUUUAGACGUAACAGAAAGUAUAAGAUGAGAAGUCAAAUCUAAAAGUAAAAUUAAGAAAGUUGCACCACUAUUUCUAAAAUGAAUAUGAAAUAUAUAUACAAGAAGCCAAUUAGUAAAGAUAUGCCAGUGAAGGAUGGGUAAAGAAAUUGGACCCUUGUGGUUCAAUUGACCCGUCAUUAAGUGAGGUUGAGGUCAACUUGUCUCAUUCUUUGAAACUCUAAAUUAUAUAUGUAACAUCAUCUGUGAUCUAGUCUCAAUUCCAAAAAUAUUUUAACCAUUCUUCUAAAACGCUGAACAAAAUAAUUUAGGUUCAAUCUUCUAUAGUAUUAGAAGUAUUAGUGUAUCAAUGUAUAAUGUUUUAUUAUUUCAAUUGUUUUGUAACUGAAUACAUACUUUUCUAAAAUACAAAUUUAUCGUCGUAAUAAGAUUUAGUAAAUUUCUUUAACUAGAUUUUGUCUAUAAAUAAUCAUUAUGAAUAUUAAAAUAGUUUGACAAUAAUGCAAUUAUCGAAUCUUAAGGUAUGGACUUAAAUAAACGGAACCAACUAAUAAUACCUUAUUAUAUACGACUCUACUCGUAACUAAAAAAUAUUUGGCUUUGUAUAUUAUUUAUAUUACACUAAUUAAUCUAUGUGUCAGAAAAUUAUUGGUUAAUAAUUUAUUUUUAAAUUUUGGUUAAGAUAAUUAGUUAGUUGUGGUUUGAAAAGUAUUUUGUUGCGUCCAAAUUGGGAGUUGGGUCGACCCGGCCCAGCAAUAAUCGGGUUCACAUUAAGCUUCAAGCAAAGGUAGAAAAAAAGUAAUUGAAAUAUAUUAUAUAUAUAUAUAUAUAUAUAUAUAUUAUAUUGCUUGAAAAUUAGUUUAUGACAUCAUACCUCUAAUCUAUAAAUCAUAAUAUAAAACUUUAAAUCGUGGGGGUUUCCUUGAGUGAAAUAGGCAAUGGUUUAAAUAUGUCACUUUCUUUUUCUCUCUCAAGCAUUUAUUAAUGACCAUAUAUCUUAUUUUGUAACUUGUUUUUGUGCAUUCUGUGAGCUUAAUUUAAAAAUGAAAAAAAGAAAAACUCUUUUUUGGAAGAAAAAAUAAAACUAAUUAAAUCAUAUCUACACUGCUAUAAAAUACUCAAAUUUGAAGAGUGGACAUGAAAUUAAUUUCUUUUUUAUAUAAGGAUUUCAUAAAGUAUUUACAAACAUAGAACAAUUUGUCAAAAUUUAGAAUCACCUUUUUAGAGUCUAAAUCAAUAAUAAAUCAUUUUGUUAAUAAAGAUAUAUUAACGAUAGAAUAUAUCAUUUCGAUGUAGAUUUUGUUAUAUAUUUGCUCUAACUCUUUUAAGAAAAAUACUAAAUCAUUUAAUUAUUAGUUAUGAAAGUGUUACUUGAUAGGAUUGCCUUACUUUCUAGUCGCGAGGUUCAUGAAGUACUUCUUAAGGUAAACAGAGGAACGAAGUUAACAACUCCAACUCGUCCAACCUUUAACCAACCCUCUUAAAAAUCAUUAAUUAAGAUAUGAAAUUUGCUUAGUUAAUUAAUUUCCCUUUCUACUAAAUUAAUGAAUAUAACAAAUACUUUACUGGAGUAGAGAUUGAAAAAGAAGAGGGAGAGUACUCUGGGGAAGUAUUAAUAUAUAUAGAAAAAAUUGAUAGCAAAAUAUUUGAGAAGGAAGCAAUGAAAAUGAAAAGAAGAAGAAAAGUUUAUGAAUAAUAAUGUGUGAAUUAGGGUUAUAGAAAGUAGAGGGCAGACCAAAAGAAGAAGAAAGAGCAUUGUAAUAUUAUUAUCACAAAGUCACAAACGUAUGGGACUCAUUCAAACACACACACACACACACACACACAAUAGAGAGUUCACAACCAAAGUCUCAAGCAAUAAUAUAAAAAUAAAAAGAAUGAGGUGGCGCAUAUAAAGGGCGUGAGAAAGCAGAAAUUAAAAGCCAUAAACACAAACCCCUUUCAACUCAUCCCAACUAGCUUUUCUUGUUUUUUCGCCAAUUUAGGUUGCCACUUGAAGCAACAAAUUAAAUUAAAUUGAUUAUCAAGUUUUUUAGGUACCAAAAUAAAAUUACUUCCCUACAUCUACUUAUAUAAACUUGUUCCAUUAGUGUUAUAAGUUGUCUUUCUCUUUUUGCUUUUUCUAUAUAGUUGGAUUGAAUUGGAAAGAAUAUUUAAGUAAAUUACAAGUGUAAUUCGAAUAAUAGGAAGAUGAUACGAAAAAUUCUUUUUCUCUAACCAAUACUUGAUAAAAGAGCAGUCUAAACUAUUAUUUAUAAUUGGAAAAGAAAAAGUCACUCAUACUGUUAACAUUACAUGGAACUCUUUUUUCUCUCUCACGAGUGGGCGGCUUUCAACCCUUCAUUACUAAUAUUAUAAAUAUUAUAUAUACACACACCCACCAUUUCCUACUCUCUCACUCCUCACUUCUUUCUUUCUUUCUCUCUCUCUCUUUCUUACUUUUCUCACUUCAAUCCUUACAAAAGUUUUGAUUUUGAUUGCUUUCAUGGAAACCCCAGAUGAGUUUAUGCCUUCAAAUCAUCAAAUCCAUUCUAUUCUUUCCCUUAAACGCCGCCGCCGUAACAAGCGUUUACGCCUCCUUUCUUCCCCUCCCGAUACUACUUCUUCCUCCUCUUGCGGCGGCACCGACGAAUUCCCUGCCCCUUCCUCUUCCAUCUCUGGCGGUGACACCAAUAAUAAUAAUAAUAACAAUAAUCUCCUUCUUCAUCAUCAUCAUCAUCAUCAUGACGAUCAUCAUGAAAUCAGUACUGAAGAGGAAGAAGAUAUGGCUAAUUGUUUGAUUCUUUUAGCUCAAGGAGAUUCCGCCGUCCACCGCCGACCAACGGCCCAAAAUUUUCAACACCCUCUCAAAAUUAAUCCCAAAACAUCAUUCAAUUUUGAGAUGGCUAAAACCACCUCUGGAUUUUAUGUUUACGAGUGUAAGACUUGUAAUCGGACUUUCCCUUCUUUUCAAGCCCUCGGCGGCCACCGCGCUAGCCAUAAGAAGCCGAAGACGACGACGAUGGCCACCGCCCUGGAGGAUCAACCAGAAGAGCCACAAUUGAUCAAAAUUGCGGCAUCUCCAGUACAGAUUCCAACCAAAACGGUGACUGCAGGAGCGAAUUUUCAAACCCACAAGGGCGGAAAAGUACACGAGUGCUCUAUAUGUGGAUUGGAAUUCACUUCAGGUCAAGCAUUGGGAGGACAUAUGAGGAGACAUAGAGCUACAACCGCCGUGUCAAGCGCACAACAAGUAGUCGUGGCUACGAACACGGAGGAGGAUAAUAAUACUAAUCAUCACCAUCACCAUCGUCAUCGUAAUUCCGUUGAGAGGAAGGAAAGAAACAUUCUAGAAUUGGAUCUGAAUUUACCAGCGCCGGAGGAAGAUCUCCGGGAGACAAAGUUUCAAUUUACGGCAACUCCACAAACAAUCGUCUUCUCAGCACCAACACUUGUGGAUUGUCAUUAUUGAAGAAGAAGAAAAAAAAAAAAGAAGCAACAACAACGAUCCGGCCGGCCAAAUAUUGGGGGGGGGGGUUAAAUUGUGAAUUGUGUUUUUUUAUUUUUUAUUUUAAAAUUUCUUUUAAUUACAGUUACUUAUUAUUAUUAUAUAUAGUGAUUAAAUAUAUUCUUUGAAGCUAUAUAUAUAUAAAAGAGAAAAGAAAUAUUUGGUUAUCUACCCAUUGAAAUUGAGUAAGAGUAUGGUUAGUUGGGUGUGUCUUCUUAUUAUGGUUACCUGUUUUCAUUCAUGAAAAGUGGGUGAUUUUUUAUGUCACUUUUUUUUACCUAUAUUUGUUUUAAAAUAACAAAAAAGAUAUAAUUUUUAUCUUAAAAAUAGUAAACAGUGAAAGAAAAAAAAGAAGAGAAAAUGUGAUGAGAUGAGAUGGGGGUUAGGGUUUGGCAGCUCCACCACCAGAUUUAAAAGCUGUUGUUUUGCAUAUGCUUUGCUUGGCUUCUACAUAUGACUCUCUCACUCAGUCUCUCUCUCAUAUUAAAUGACAAAAAAAAUACAUGGAUGGCAGGCUGAGUUGGUAACUAAGCUAUGCCAAAUGGAUCCACCUGUCUGUCUCUGUUGGUGGGUUAUUGUAUUUUAAAAAGAAAAGAAAAGAAAGAGAAGAGAAUAGUACAGCUCAAAUUGAGUUCUAAGCCUAAGUGAAGUGACCAACUGUAUUAUCCUAAACCCUUAUUAUCUUAUAAUAGAAGCUAACUUUUUAAAACAAACAUUGGGAAAAGGGUUGUGUUGGGUCCCACUCAUCCUUCGGUAGGUCCUACUCCUUCCGUCCCCUUCGUUAUUCCCGAUAAUGACUCUCUCUCAACCUCUUUACCUCUAACCCAUUGGGCUUUGGAUAAGUGGGCCUCCUCUCAGGUCCAUUCCUUCCUGGGCCCACCUUUCCUUUUGUUGGUUGGGUUCUGGGUUGCCACGUGUUUACCUCUUCCUCUACUUACACUACUUCCACUCACACUCGGUAACUCAUUUUAGUACCUUCAUCUACUUACAUGGCCAUGCCAUCAAAAGUACGAAACUUUGUUAACACGAAUCUAGUUCAAUUUGUUUAGAUAUGUACUAUACAUUUCUAAAGAUGAUGUUUGAAUUUUUCCUGUUGUUAAUAUGAGAAUUAGACCCAAAGUGUUAGUAGGUAUAACACAAUGUAAAAGAAGUUUAAUUUGUAGUAAAAUUUAGAUCUACCUCUUUGGAGUCUAUCAAUGAUAAUAAACCUCAAUCCUUAUUAAGCAACAGAUUCUUCGUUGGAUUCGACGUUUGUUCUAGCCAUUGCGAAUAAACAAUUGGUAGAACUUUGCAACUUGUUAGAAGGUGGGGAUUUAUUAUAUGCUUCCCCCACAAUAGCUGAAGUGAACCCUUUAGAACAGUUGCUAAGCUUUGGGUCUCAUGUAUGAGUAGAAAUUCAUCCUACAAUCUCCCCCCCAUCUUGUCUUAUGUACUUCCCUUUGCAUUUCUGCUAACUGAACUUGAUUCCACCGACCAUACCAUUGAUAGGAGCUUUUGUUGCUAAUAAAAUUUGUUAUAUUUGUAAGUUAUUUAAAAUUUUUCUGUACGUCAAAUUAUUCAUAGAAGCUUGUUUACAAGGCUAAAAUACAAUUAGAAUUUAAGUGAUAUGUUAAAUUUAUCUGGGAAUGAGAUCACGAAGAUGAUGUGAAAGAGAAGUGAGUUGAAAACGGUGGAAAAAGAACGUAAUAUGGGUUAGAUUACAAAUGGAAACCGAAGUUCUCAAUCUAAAAACAUGAGUUUGAGAGUACAACCCGUUACAAUCUGUCAGAAAACACCAUAUUACUGUUAAAAGUGUCACCCGAAGCAAUUAUCCAAACAGAAAAUAAAACUUAGUGACAUUAUUGUGUUUGUAUCCAUCACAUUCGUUUCACAUACAAAAAAAAUCAAAUAAUAUAUCAUGUCAAAGGAAUGGAAGAGAGGAAAGAGAGGUUAGCAUUGAUUCUCUUUGCAUUUAAACACAUAAAGUUGAUAUCCAUUUGUUCAUUAUAACUGUAUGCUCAAUUAUUUUGCAAAACCUAUAGUGAGGAUGAUUGGGCGAACAUCUAAUAAUAUACUUUUAUAGGUCAAGCUUUUGAAUUAAUUUCAUUCACAGACUUAGGUGAAAGUUAGGAAAGCCUAACACAUAUAUGUGUAUGAAUUGCAUUUGUUUAGGGAUUCUUUUAUGGGUCCAAAUAAAAGAAGAAGGUUCAUGAUUAGCACAUGCAUGUUGUAUCAACCCUAAUCCCCCAUCUUAUCAAAUAUCAAAACUUUAGUACUAUGUAGAUUUUACAGAACAUAAAGGAAAAGGGCCACUAUUUUAGAACAUGAUUUGAUAUUGACAUUAUUCAUAUAUACACACACAUAUAUAUAGGUGAAAACAUAUGGCAGACUUACUGACAAAUGAGAAGAUGACAAGUGGACACUUUGCAGUUGUAACAUCUGACAAGAAAAUUAAAAUGUUUGGUCUGGUUGGGCUGGCAAAAUGCAAUGUAAGCAAAUCUUAAUAAUCUAAAAUGGGAGCAAUAUUUGGUGUAUACUAUACUAUCUAUCUUAAUUUAAUUAGAAGUGCUACAUAUUUAUAUUUAUUGAGCAAUACCAACUUUCUAACUUCUCCUCCAUCCAUCACAUUUAUCAAAUAACUCUCAAUCUUUUUCUUAAGAAAAUAUAUUCAUACUCCUUUCGUCAUUAAUUGCUUGUAGUAACGUAUUAUAAAAGUUAAUAAUGAACAAAAGAAAUUGAUACUACAGUAGUACUAAUUUUUAUCACAAUCUUUCCUUUACUUUAUAUCCGCUUUGUAAUUAGCUCCAUUUACAAGAAACUCAAUCUUAUAACUAACCAAAUUUAAGAUAUAUUAAUCUCAUACUUAUGUAAAGAAUUUAGAGAAUAAAAUUAAUGUUUAGAAAAUGAAAAGAGGAAAAUAUAAUAAAAGUAAACUAAAAAGUAGAACCGACAAAAGAGAGCGGUUAAAAUAAAGAAAUUAGAAGAGGAGAUAAAGCGGUUGAAAAGUAAAUGGGUACAACCCGACCCACUACUGCUCUGUUUUGCCGUCUAAUUGUUUCAAGGGAUAGUUGCAAAUUUAGCCAUUAAAUGCAAAAUAAUUAAGUAUAUAGCAACAUGUUAAAAAAAUUACAAAUAUAGCAAAAUUUAUCAAAUUCUAUCAAUAAUAGAAGUCUAUCACCGAUAGAUCAUGUUGUAAAUAUUGAUCUAUCAUUGAUAGGUCAUACAAAUCUAUCAGUGAUAUAAGUCUAUCAGCGAUAGUUUGACUAUAUUUGCAAUUUUUUUAAAAUGUUGUUAUAUCUUUAAUUAUUAUUUCUAAAAUGUCAUCAAUUAUAAUUACCCUUGUUUCAAUACCUGACCAUCAUCUCUCAAAACCCAACCCAAAUAACUCCACCUUUUUCUAAACAAAUAUUAUUGGUUUUAAAGUAAAAAGUGCAUUUUUGUUUUAACAGUGGUAUAUAUUUUUCUAAUUCGUCUGUGUUUUUGUUCUUUUUGGAACAAAUACUAGUUUAUAUCGAUUUAAAUCUUAAACGGGUGAUUGUAUCAAUUUAACUUGUCUAAACAAAAUAUAAUGCACGCGUUUAAAUUGAUAUAAACUCUAAAUUUUCAGGUAUAAUUCGAAAAUUUUCUUAUUUAUUUUUGUAAUAUCCAUUCUAUUGAGUUUAAGCAGCCAUCAUUGGUUUAAGAGUAAAUAUCAUUUGGAUGUUUUAUGUUUUCAACUUUAUUUGAUCUCUUCUUUUCUUCAACUUUUAGUUUGGUUUUGUAUAUAUAGUUCACGUACCUUUUUUUUUUUUUUAGAAAUAAUCAAUUUUUUUGUUUAGUGCAUCCUCUUAAAAGUAUGGACAAAAAUAAAGGUAAAAUUUGAGAAUAUGUAGUCUAAGAAUAACAUUUAAACUUUAGUUUAAAAAUAAAGUGUGAAAUGCUAAAUCUUGACGUUUUAUAUCUUUACAAUUGAAUUACAUUCAAUGAGUUGCUGUGGUGUAGUGGUUAUCACGUCAGUCUUACACACUGAAGGUCCCCAGUUCGAUCCUGGGCAGCAACACUUUUUUUAACUAACAAAUUGUUUCUUCAAAGUUUACAAGAAACAAGGUAAGGUAAGAAUUAAUUUUUAUUGGAGGAUGGUAGAAGCUUGAAUCUUUGUCAACUUCUAGUAAAAAUGAAUACUUAUUUGGUGAAGUAGAAAGAUCAAUUUAUAAAAUUGUGCUAUAAAUUUAUUUAAGUACAAGACCAACUCAUAGGGAUGGAUACAAUUGAAUGAAUGUCUAAUACUUUUAACCCUAUAUAAAUUACAAUUGGAAUAAAAUUUUAAUUUUGGAGAUAACAAUAUAAACAAUGAAUAUAAGUUCAUAGAUUCUCAAAACACUCUAUUUUGAUAUGAUUCACCAAACUUUUAGUUUCUAUUGCCCAAUUGACAAAUCUCUAACUUUGAUAAAAAGUAAAAGUAUAUGUAUAUUGUUAAUCUAACUAUAUUUUAAAUUUACAUAAAUAUCCAUAAGUUUGUUGAUAUAUAUCCAUGAAAUUAAAACCCCAAUGCCUUUAUAAGACAUCAAUAUUUUAAUCUACAAAGAUUUGAUUUGUAAAUCAAGUGAACUACUCAACUGUUUCUCCAUAAGAGAGAAGAAGAAAAAUUCACGUAGUCUUCUUCUACAUUGAAAUAAACCAACAGAUAGAUUUGCAAAACCAAGCACGAUUCAAAAGAAAUCACUUCUUGGUGUAAGUUUGAUGGUCGGGUCCAACGUCUCGGGAGCCAGUGUUAAUAUAAGGACCUCGAAAAGUGGCCUGCGGCGAAAGCGGCUUUGUCGGAUCUAUAACUGGUUUUUUCGAAGACCUGAAUCGUAAUCCUUUUCAAUGUUAACUUCUCCAAAUUCAUCCAUUCAUUAAAGGAAUGAAAUUGUCAUUUACUUACGCCAUGUAAAAGGGAAAUGCUAAUCCAGCAGAUGCAAAGGCUAUCAGCCCAACGGCAACAAUCAAAUUCCGACGCCGUGUCAUCAAGUUUUCUAUGAGUGAACUGAAAAGAAAUCUAUAGAAUGAGUGACAAUUUCCAUGUAAUUCAAUCUAAUCUCACCUACUAAUUCUAAUUUAUUGGCCAAAGAGGCAAAGAAAUGAAUUUAUCAUUCGAUUUGGAUAACUUCAAGAAAGAGAAAAAGAGCUACUACCCCUACACAUAAAUGGUACUAAUCAUUGGAAUAGUUUUCUUGCUUGAUUCGAUGAUCCUCAAUACAGAAGAAAUAGUUCAAGAAUUACUAAAUAUUCUCCUAUAGGAGUGCAUCCAAAAAAAAUGAUUUGAUCGAGUACCGAGGAGUCAAAAACUAAUAGUAAUAUAAAGGUGAAGUAUUUUUAAGCAAUUAAAAAGUUGAUUCAAACAAAAUCUAACUCUACCAUCGCCAGGUUAAGAAGACAAAUAAAUUGGCAAAUACUAGAUUGCUUCCUCCUUUUUUGUUUUAAUAAAGAACAGGUAUUCUGGUUUUGAAAAGUUCAACAAAAAGGCCUCAAGUGCUUAUCAUCGGCUAAAAAGAAAAGAGGAAAGAACAAAACACAGGAGCCAAGACAGUAAGGAAAAGACUAGAAACAUUUAGAUGUAUAACUGUAAAGGCAGACAGCAAUUGAUAUUCUGUAAACUUAACCUGCUACAAAGAACUUUAUCAUACAAGAAACUACCAACCACCUUGAGUUGACAAGAAGAAGAGAAAAUGCUUUACAGAAAUCAAAUCAAAAUUUAUCGCCCACACCCCACAAUAUGAAUUGUUUGAAACAAGUGUGUCAGAUACUCUAACUUCGAGAAUAUCAUAAUGAACAAAUUCCAUAAUUAAUCUACCCAAUAUGAGAUGAGAUUAUGUGAAAUGACAACUUCUGAAAUCCUGCAGCAUUCUCAAUUAAUGACCAAGAGAGCUAAAUAAGGAUCCACAAGUACUAGAAAAUCAUAGCACUUCCGCAGCUAAUCUUAAACUGAGAAACUUAAGCCUCAAUCUCCAUGGACACAUACGCAAAUCCAGAUACAAAAGAACAGAUGUUUGAGCACAAAGCAGCAAUUUCUUCCGCUAACUAACGCAAAUUACAAAUAUCUGCCUAGUUUGUCCAUAAUUGAUAAUGAAACUCAUACAUUUAGCAGGUACAAAAUCUAUCCAUGCGGCGAGAAAAACAUUAGAAUCAAAAGAAACAAAUGGAAAUUAAAGCAACACCAAAGGAAUCGAGAAUGAAUAAAAAAAAAAAAAAGUAAAGUAGAAAAAAACCCUAGAUGAAAAGUAGAAGAAGACGGGGAGCUUACCGAAGGAAUUUGGGGAUGAGAGGAAUAAGCGAAUGAAGUGAAGAGGAGGUUCUUCAAAGAGAGAACAAUGGGACCUGAUACGGAAAUUGUUGAUCCAAGGGGUUCAGCCCUAAACCAUUCCAAGCCCCGGCUGGAAAUUAAAUUGUAAAUACUGGUGUAAAAAAGCGAACCGGAUUGGUUUGAUUUGGUUCGGUUCGAUUGGAUCAAUUUUCAUUAAAGUUCGUAUUGAAGAAGAAGAAGAAGAAGAAGAAGAACAUGAUAGAGUGCACAAUCCAAAAAAAAUAAAUUCCACCAAUAUCCAAUUUAUUUUUUUCUCAAUAAAUUUCAUUAGACCAAAAAAACAAUGGGAAAGAGGUUCUUUUAGGAGGAAAGACAAAUUAUUUUAAUCAAUUUUCUCUCUACUGUGUUAUUUUAAACUAUACAAAAAAAAGACCCAAAAAGUAAAAAUAUAUUACUUCUUUUAAACCGUUACUUUCUCGUUCAUUGAAAUUUGUUGAAACCAAUAUUUACACUUUUAUCUAUGAAUUUUCUUAAAAUACUCACUUUAGUACAUCCUAAUUGUUCACUCUUUGUUUGAAAGAAUGGUAAAUGAAUAAGUUUCUAUAAAUUUUGAAACAUACUUUAGUUUUAGAAAGAAUUUUGAAAGAUGCAACAAAAUUACUAUUAUUAUUAUUUAAUUAAUUUGAAUUGAAAAAAAAGAUUUAAAUAGAAAAGAAUGUUUAAAAGUAUAUAAACUAAAAGAAAAUAUAGAAAUAAAAAUAGGCUGGGUAAGGAAUUUGUGAAUCUGAUUACUGAAAGAAAACAUAAAUGAUAUAAUUUAUCUACUUACCAUGAACCAGAAAUUUGAAAUUUUAAACUUGCAAGAUUUAAAAACUCUUUUGCUUCUUAUCAUUCAAGUUAUAAAAUUGUUUGGGUAUAAUAACUUUUGAUUCUCUCCCCUCGUAUUUAUUAAAAUGAUAAACAAAAAUAAAAAGGGGAUUGGAGCGGGAAAUUUUGUUGGCCAUAACAUUGACCGGCUCACCAAAUUUAUGACUAAAGAAACCUUUACCAGUCAUUGACACUCUCGCCAAAACCAAACCCCCACCGAAACUCCGAUCUAUAUCGUCCAAAUUCCCAUCAUGUCAACGCUCCACCGGUCACCGCCGUCCAGCGCCUCUCCCGAAACCCUAACCCAAUCCAACAACCAAAUCGAUCAACUUCAUUUCAACGACGAAGAUGAAAUCAAUCUCCUGAAUUCCUACCUCCAAAUCUCCAGAUCCGAAAACCCCACCAAGAAUUCUCUCCCCACUCUCGAUUCUCAGGCCUUCGACCGCCUUCAGACCGCCGUCGGCCCCAAAUUCUCCCACUCCGUCAUCGCCGAUAAGCUCCACCGACUCAAACUCCUGUACCACAAAUUCGCAAGAACAAAGUCCUUCAUCAAAACUCCUCACCAACGUCAGAUCCUCGACCUAGGCCGCAGCAUCUGGGGAAAAUCCCCCACACCUGUAACAAGAAAACCACAGGUAAUUUCACCUUCAAGGUUACUUUCACGAAGAAUCAAACAAAGAUCAAUCACUAGAAAAGAAGGGGUUGGGGUUGAUGUUGAUCUGAAGAACUUUCCUGUUCUUGUGGCUGAAUUUUCUCGGCAGUUUCCGGGGAAUGGGGUGUGGAGAGAUGGGCUGAGGAGAAUGAAUGAGAAGAAUUUGAAGGAUAUGAAUGAGAAAUGGGUUUUGUUGCAUAUUGAAGGGGCUGAGCUUAAGGCAAGAAGGGCUGCUUUAUUGAAGGAGCAACUUAGAACUACAGAAACUAAUGAAGAUGUGAAUUAGAAUUAAUUUCUGAUUUGUACAAUAGAUAGUUACAGACAGAGAGCAUUUUGUUAUUGUCAAUGUUGUUGAGUUCUUCCUUGUAUUUUCGAUUAUGAAGUAAUGGCAGAACUUAGAUUAGGAGCACUUGUAUUGUAUGAUUGUAUUGUUAUUAAAUCAGCAUGGUCAAGAUUUGCUGAUCAUUUAAGUUUGAGAUUAUUUUUGUUCUUUUUUUCAAGGCUCUAAACAAAACAGAAAACAGGUUCCUAUUUAGAAUUUCGACUCAAAGUAAUGAUGCACUUAAUAAAAAAGUUUAGAUUGGUGCUACUAAUUUUUACUAAUUCAACCAAUAAUUUUAUUGGAUAAUUUUCAUGAAAACCAAAUCUAAUAUCUUUGAAAUCCUACCAUUUUCGUCACAAAAAAAAUUGGCUCAUGCGGAAUAUUCUUAUUUACCAUUCAUUAGUUGAACCGAUAGCAUUCAUCUAAAAUUUGAAAGAGAUAUAACCUUUUCAAUACCCAGGCCGCUGAGAUUCAUUUAUACUGUUCCAAUCUCUUUGGCCUAAAUCAUAAACCAAAGAAUUUAAAACAAAUUUCACACCAUCCAAAUGAGAGAUGUAUGUGGCAGCAAGCAGUUCACUAAAGUGGUACAAAUUCUCAAGACGGAUGUUGCAAAAAUGAGAAACUAGCAUACACUCAUUAAAAGAAAAAGAGCACGAUCAUGAUUCACAAUCAACAAAAUCCAUCUUUUGUUAUAAAAAUAAUAGAAGUCACACACCAUAAAAAUAAUUCACCUCUGUACAGAAAGUUAAAGAUCAAGAUCCAUAAAACCCAUUUUUACUUCUAAAUUCAAGGAACCACAGUGUCCGGCAAAGAUACGGAGCAUAUGCAUAUAUAUAUAAGCCUCCUCUACAAACAUACAGAGUUCAAGGUAAACAUAGAAACUCAUGCAUAUUUACUAAGCAAGAGAACCGUAAAAUGAAGCAAUCAUUUAGCAGCAAGUGCAUUUUGUUGAGUGCGAUUCUCCUGUUGCUGUUGGUAGUUCAGGGGCCUCCUGAAUAGCAUGAUAUGAGGUUCGGGACAAUGAAAAGCAUAGUGCACCCACCCACGACUCUGCUGGACUCCAAUUGCACGCCAUUCAUUCUGCACAUAAGAUUAAAGGUCUAAGAGUAUAACAAAAUGCUUCCAUGAAACGAGUAGUAAAACAGAUUUGGAAAGCACCCUUUUGUUUAGAACAACUAACUUGAGUUCAAUAAGAAAGCCAAGAAAAUCAAAGAUGAUAAUGUUCCUAUGCUUAUGCCCAACAGAAGCGUCCAUUGCUCACUAAUUGCAUAGAGGGAAUUGCACAAUUGGCAAAUCAGAAGGGAUUUAGUCUAAUGAAUAAGUCAUAAGCCCUCAAUUCUCAAUCCUUUUUCAUAUAACUUCUAUCCGAAAUACUCAAAAACAUCGUUUCAACUUCAUGCAACCAUCAGUCAAAUCAAAGAGAGAAUAUCAAGAUCAUAUGAAAAUAUAAAAGAUUAGAAAUAAGGGGAAAAAUUGUCCACAUAAUAAUAUCUAUUUCAUAGGGUCUCUCAAGAGUGAUACCUAAACAGGAAAUAAGAAUUCAACUAUUGAACUAAGUUUCUUCUCAAUCAAUAAGAUAAUUCUUCCUUUCGUAACAAAAUCAAGACACAUAAAUUUGAAACUAAGAAAACAAAAUUGCUUACUUCCGAGAGCAGACGAUUCUUAGGAAACAACUUUGCCACUUCGGGUGGGAGAACCACGUGUCUGCACCAAUCAAUCCAAUUAGACAUUGAAGACAAAAAAAAUGACCACUUCCAAAUCCAAACAAUCCUUCAAGACAGCGAGUAACAAUGGAGUUGGAAACUGAGAGUAAGAACACAAUACCUGUACUCAUAAAUGUCGUCGAAGUACUUCUCAGAGUACUAAAUCUGACCCAUCUAUCACUGAGUGGUAUUCGUCUUGCAGAAUACAACGAAGCGGAUUCAAUGGUUUUGAUCGCGAAAAUGAAGCAACGUACGAAUAGUGAACUUAAGCCUCAACGAGGGCUCCAGAACCCGAUGAAAGGGCAUAUUAUUUAUAUAAAUACGCUCAAUUUGAAGUAAACGAAAUUCAAAGUCGGCCGAUCAUUUUUUGCCACAUGUAUCGCAGUAAGGAAUUUUUUUUCUUUUCAAUUUUGUACUUUAAAGUAUUUUAGCGGAUGAAAAAGUAAACGAAACUCAUAUUUUUUACUCUUCCCUAAUGGCUUCUAAAUAUGUUUGUAUAUAACUUUCAAAAGUUUAACUUUUCAAUGUUGUAUUAACACUUCACAUUAAUUUUUUUCGAUUCUCCAACGAACUUUAAAAAGGCAUAAUGAGCAAACUAGUUUCACAAUUAUUGCAGCUUACUUAAAUCUAAAAGAAGAGUAUAACUUGAUGGUAAAUGACAGUCUCUCCAAAGGUUGCAGAGUUUCAACCCCCUCCUACGAAAUGAAUUACCGUUUAAAUAUUAAAUUUGAACCUACAAGAGUUAUCAAUUCAUCUUACUAACAGAACAUUCUUUUAGAACAAUAACUUCAAAUAAUGGCAAGCAGAAUGUUUUAUACAUAUUUAAUAUUGAUAUUAAACUAACAACCCAACAUUUAUAACUGCUAUAUUCAAUUUCUCUCUUCAAACCCACAAUCAUGUUCAAAUUUAAAACAUUCAUGAUCACAGAUUCAAAGAAUUACAUCCUCUGGAUGCAAAAAAGAAAAAAAACACCCAUAAAGUCAUAGCAAAAUACACUAGAAAAAAAACACCCAUAAAGUCAUAGCAAAAUACACUAUGGAAUUUAAAGCCGAGAACAAAAUUUUGGAAAGCUUUCUUUACCCAAACACUUUCUUUCUCCACAAGCCUUCACCAAACUAACUACCAUCCUUUUUUGUUUUCCCUUUUUUCCUCCUGUACACUAGCAAAAAAAUUUGGUUAACCCUAUCAUUCAUCAGGGUUGUAUGACCAUUUUUCUGUACACCCAACAAAAAAAAAAGAGAAAAAAAGCAACACCCCUCCCCUUCCCUCCCUAUGUAUAGAUUUCAUCAGGGCAAGUGGGGUUGCUUCAUUUGCUUUCCACUGCAAAAGAAUUUCAUCCACUGUCAGUUACCUAAGUUCUACUAUGUUUCAUCUUCAGCUCCCUGGGUUUGCUGCACUAUUAAUUACACGAUAUUUCGGUACUUCUUUUUGCAACAUCGACGUCCCUUGGAAGAUCAUCAUUUGGUAAUGUCUCUUGAACUCCAUUACCUGCAACAAGAAUACAAAAGUAGUUCGUCACACCACUCUAUGCUUUUUUCCUUCAUCACAUGCAAUUUUCUAUUGUGAAGAUUAAUGUAUACCUCUUCAGGAGGUAACUUGCUAAAACCAAAUUUGUUGAUCCACAAUGACUCUGCUUCGUCUGCAGCUGGAAGAACUAGAUUCUUUACGUUCAAAAAUCCUAAGAACCUCUCGAUGCAUGCAUACAAAGAUUGGAAGUAGCCCUGGAAAUAGUCUUCUUAAUGAGCUACGCAAGUUCAUUUCUCAAUGAAAGAGGAAAAUCUUUUUCAAUGUGAAGAACAGAUGAUAGCUACCUGUCCUUGAAAGUUGGUAUCUGUUGCUACUAAAGGAAGCUCCGCUACUUCAGCCCCAAAUAUUCGAAAUAUUCCCACUGACACAACAGAUUCACUACAAGAAAAGACAAAGAUUAACUAAGUGAUAAGAUUCCAAAAAUAAAACGCAAACUUCAAAAAUUCUUACUUCACUGUUAGAACUGCACAGUAUAUCCCACCAAAUUCUUGACCCCGGAUGUUCCUCCUGCACGGCAUAGAAGUGCAGAAGAUUACUCUCAACAAUCACUAUAUCAACUUCAUAGCAAGAUGCAGAAACUAAUCAUUGAGAGAAUUAAAAAGGGAAAACAAUGAGUACAAUUCUUUACCCAUAAAGCAUCGACGGAAUGAAGUCUCUCCCGGAGGCUGAGUCAACAAUCGGAUCAAAACAAUCCUGGAUUUAUGGGAAAAAAACAAAACAGUUGGUAAGCAGAAGUAAAAAGAAUAAAGAGGCCCACAAAACAAUUCAUAUUUAUCAGUGCGGCUAAGAGUUGAUAAACUAUAGCUUUCCUUUCUAAAGGACGAUUGCUAAUGAUAGUCACUCACAUGGAAAAUAGAAACCGCCUUCGAAAGUAAUGAUCUAGUUUCAUCAGAAGACAGCAUUUUCCAAUUGAGGACCCGCCAUCUAAUUUCAACAUCGUUUAUGCUUGCUGAACCCUGGUCUUCAAUCUUUUUCUGAACAGAGACCAAAAUAGACUCAGGCAGCUUCUCUCCUCCUAAAACCACCAACUUCUCUAGGGCAGAAUGUAUUCUGUUACACUCCGGACAACAAAACCAUUUUCCUUGAGGAAGUUCCUGCAAGAACAGUUGUAUCGAGAUUUUAAAACUCAGAUCACAACAUUUACCACUCAAAAAGAAAUCUGCAGAGAAAGAUGGAACAGGGGAACACCUUCAGAUCUUCCAUGUUGUUUUCCUUUAAGCAACCAACAUGAAACUCCUUCUCACACUGGAGAAAACAUUGUCAUUUGGUACUUCACAGUUAGCGAACAAUGAUAAAAGGAAUCCUAUUCAUUAUUAACAAAAAAUUGUUAAACAAAGUUGAAAAAUAAUACCUGAUCACAGAGAAUAACAGUUCGAGGACCAAACCCUGACUUGCUAAAGUCGUGGCAUCUACAACAAAUGAAACUACCAUUUAGAACAUUUGAAGAAACAUUAAGAAAUAAAAACUAAAAAUGUACAAAUAUUGAGGUGCAAAAUGUGAAAAACAAGGCUCUUCCGAAGAAAAAAAAUAUACCUGCAUAAUGCACAUCCACCAACUUCCACUUCCAUAGUUUUGACAAUUCGAAUGCAUCUCGUUGUUAUCUGUUCAAUAGGAUCAACACCAGCAACCCUUCCAGCGGCAACAGCAUUGGCAUUGUGCUCCACAAAUUUUUCCUUUUGGAACAAAUUCUGGCAAUAUUUGCAGUACCAGAUACCAGUAGGGAUACAUUGUAAAGGAACACAAUCUGAAUUGGCCAAGCACAAAAAGUCAAAUGUAAAUGUAUAUGGUUAGAAUAAUGGGCUUAGGUCAUGUUGAAAGCCCAAGGGUAGUUACAUAAUUUACUUUGCACUAUUUUUAUUAUGUUAUUUAAGCAAGUGUUGCCUAUAAAUACUUCCACUUUGUAGCUUUAUGAGUAUUAGAAAAUAAUAAAAUUAUUAGAACUUGGUUUUUCUCCCUAUACUAAGGUUUCCAUGUAAAAUUGUGUUUGUUCUUCGUCUCUAUUUACGUUAUCUUGUGAUGUUUCUUCUUUAUCUUGUGAUGCAUGCAUACUAUAGGAGGAAUCUCAAAAAGGAAGUUGAGCCUUCUACUGUUCAGACGGCUCUAGUCCAAGAUUCGAAACCAAUAAAAGAUCAAGGUAUAACUAAUUCCAUUGACUCACAUAGUAAUAGUAGAAUGAGUAAGAAUGACAAGUCCAAGACAAAUUCAACUGACUCACAUACCAACAAUAAGGCAAGUGAGAAUGACGAUUACGAGACAGCUAUUCCAGAUGAUAUGGAUGGGCAGGGCAGUAUUGAUGGGGUCAUUGUAGAUAGAGAGAACAAGAUUAGUGAGAAUGAGGUUGUUGUUGAACAUACUGAAAACGAAAUUAAGUCAAACUAUUCAGAAAAUAUCAGUAGGUAUGAUCCAUCUCUUGAUCUUCCUACUGCACUAAGGAAAAGUACUACAUCCUGUACAAAGCAUUCCAUCUCUAAUUAUCUGUCAUAUGAGAAUCUCUCACCACAGUUUAGAGCUUUUACUGUCAGUCUUGACUCUACCACAAUACAAGGUGUUUACAUUCAAGUACAAAGCAUUCACUCAAACUUGGGGAUUGAUUAUGCAGAGACUUUUUCUCCUGUUGCAAAUGAAACACUAUUAGAUUUUUGUUGUCUGUUGCAAUGAAUAAGGAUUGACCCCUAUAUACAUGAAGCUCAAUUUAAUAAUCAGGUUUGCAAGCUUCAAAAGUCUUUAUACGGGUUAAAACAAUCACCAAGAGCGUGUUUUACCACUUUCAUUUAGUCUUAGAGGUACAACCCGGGGCACUCCUAUCACACCUUGUUCAUCAAAGUCUCCAAGACAGGGAAAAUUGUAGUAUUGAUUCUCUAUGUCGAUGACAUUGUGCUAUCUGGGAAUGACACUAAUGAAAUUAUUAAACUAAAGAAGAAGAUGGUGUUUGAGUUUAAAACCAAAGACUUGGAGAGUCUGAAGUACUUUCCCAAGAUGGAGAUUGCUAGAUGCAAAGAAGGCAUCUCAAUGUCCCAAAAAAUGUACACCUUUGGUUUAUUAGGUGAGACAAGUGUGCUAGGAUGUCGUCCUAUUUAUACACCAAUUGAGCUCAAUGCCAAACUCAAAAAUUCAGGUGACAGAGUUCCUCAUGAAAAAAGAAAUAUCAGCACCCGGUAGGAAAGUUGAUUUACUUAUCUCACACUAAGCCUGGCAUCUCCUAUGUUGUAAGCGCUGUCGAUCAGUUCAUGUGGCACCUUAUAAGGACCACAUGGAGACGGUUAAUAGGGUUCUAAGCUAUUUAAAAGCAACUGCUAGUAGAUGUCUAAGAUACAAGAAGACUGACAGAAGAUGUGUUGAAGUUUAUGCUGAGUCUGACUGGAUAGGAUCUAUUGUUGAUAGAAAGUUUACCUAAGGAUAAUGUAUUUUGUGUCGGACAAACUUGUUGCCUAGAGAAGUAAGAAGUAAGGUGUUGUGACUAGAAGUAGCGCGAAAGCCAAAUACAAGGCUAUGAGUUUGGGGAUCUACUAGGAGACCUGGCUCCAAAAGGUGUUGUCUGACCUUUGUCAAGACCAAGAGGUGCCUACGAAGCUUUUCUCUUAUAACAAGACAGCCAUUACCAUUGACAAUAACCUGGUCCAACAUGAUAGAACUAAACAUGUGGAGAUUGACAAACAUUUUAUCAAAGAGAAGCUUGACGAUGGUAGCAGUUGCCUUCCUUACAUAUUCUCAAGCCAACAAAUUGUUGAUAUCCUCACAAAGGGAGGGUUCCUCAUACAAAGCUUUGAUUGGUGUAUUAGCAAGUUGGGUCUUUAUGACAUUUAUGUUCCAACUUGAGUGGGAGUGUUAGAAAUAAUGGACUUAGGUCAUAUUGAAAGCUCAAUGCUAGCUACGUCAUUUACUUUGCCCUAUUUUUAAUCUGUUAAUUAGGUUGCCUAUAAAUACUUCCCCUUUGUACCUUUAUGAGUAUUAUAAAAUCAUUAGCACCUAGUUUUUCUCCUUGUACCAAGGUUUCCACGUAAAUUUGUGUUUGUUCUUUGUCUCUACUUUCAAUAUAUAUACUUACCAUAUGGAAAUAAUUGUAUUCUGCAUUACCGAGUGCUGUGAUGCAUAAAUGCAACAGCAGUACAUCUUAAUAUUUUGAUCAUGAGACUUAUAUUUAUGAAAGAGUAAUCAGUCAACAAAUAUACCGAAAGAGGAGAGAGGAAAGAGGAGAGAGGAAAGAGAGAGACAGCAGAGAUCUCAAAAUUUUGUGAAGAAACUACCAUUAAGAUACGACAUUUUUAACAGGAAGAGUAAUCACCUCUAUGAAAAGACCUGGGGCAGCCAUCACAACACAGCAGAUCCCCUCCAUCUGCACAAAUGCUACACAAGUCAUCGUUAUCAGUCAACGAGAACUUCCGUCCUUUCGAUAGAGAUAUGGACAACUCAUGCAGAGACACCCCAUUUGAUGUGUAAAUGUGCAAAUAUCUGCAAAGGAGGGUACACUAUGCCAAGUCAAUGCAAAACCAAUUAUAUCCACUAAACGAUAAUAUACUGUAAACAAAACUUUUAUUUCAUAUUUCAUGCAAAAUAUUUCUAUUAUUCAUAUACAAUGAUGUGUGAAAAUUACUAAGAGCACAAGCUGGGUAAGAUACAUUAAUUACUUAAAAGUAGGCUUGGAGACAUUAUUAUUUCUCUUAAUCUUCUUUAUUUCUUUUCAAUUUUUAGACCAUAACAUUUGUUAGCUAUUUUUUAUGAGAACAUAGCCGUUUGUGAACUAUUACUUCAUGCUCGUUUCUCAAUCCUAAAAAACACCCCAAAUACUAUAUACAACUGUUAGAAACAACAAAAUCUAAUUUCUUCUUCUCAUUCCAAUUGUCAAUAUAGAGAAAACCUUAUCUCAUCAUUUUUCACCUGUAAAUUGCAUAAAUAAUGUUUUUAUAAUAAAACUACAACACUAAAGGUUAGAAUAUUAUAUUUAAAAUUUAAUUAUCAUGAAAACUCAGUUUUUUCUUAGUUUUCUAUUAAAAAAACAAGUAACAAUUAACAAUGCAUGUUUGUUUCCCUUUUUAAAAGAGAGACAAAAAAGAGUAAUCUGAAACAAGAAAAGAGAUCGUGAACACAGUGGCCCUCUAAUAAGAACGUGAUGUUGUCCUUUCACUAUUUUAAUUAUAUAAAAAUUGCAGGAUAAAUUAUAUCAAAAUAAACUAGACAAAUACUCACGGUUUGCGCCUUGAUGCCCAACCAGCAUGAGCUUCAAAUUGUGAGGGACUAACCUACUCAUUAAGCAGAAGCCAAAUCAAAACUCUAGUAAACCUUCAGAAUCAGAAAUGUUUCAGCAGAAGAAAAGUACCUCAGAAUUGCAGCAGCUACAAAAAAUACCAGAUCCCUUUUUAUACCCAACCAACAAUUUCUGCAAAAUAAGAAUUAGAUGAACUAUACAUAACAUGAAAAUUAUUAGUAAGAACUAAUUGGUUACUAGUCUAUGGUUAAAAAUAAAUAAAUGAUGAAAAGAAAUAUGAAAUACCUGCCCACGGGCAUAGUAUGCAACUUCAGUUCCAUCAGGUAAUAUAUCUUCCUCAAACACUAACUUAUGCAAUCUUAGAUCCCUGUUUGAAAGAUACCAGAAAAUGUCAACGAGAUAAACUAUAACGAAAAGGAAAUAAAUAGAGUACAUCCAAGUGGCACAAGAAUUUAAUAAGGAACAAAUCACUAACUUUCUAGUUAUUCUUCCAUGAAUUUUACCACGAGUCGAAACACUCUUCGUUAUAGUGUCAGAUGACUUGGAAAGUACAUUAGGUUUUGGAGUUCUGCCAAAAACAGACAUAAGAAAUAGAAUUUUAGAAUACAUCAGCGCAAGAAGUACAAUAGCGGUCCAAGAUAAAAUAUGCAACAUUUUGAAUUUUGAUUCCAGAAACCAAUAAACCAUAAAACAUAAUGAGAUGAUCCGCCCAAAACUCUUUCAUGUAAUAGUGUGAUAAGGAUAGUAAAUCUAUUGCCUAGAAAUACAUGCAACAGAGUAUGAUUUCAAGGAACUUAUAUAUCGUGAGACAACCAAAAUUCUACAAAUUAAUACUGAUGUUUCAUAUCAUUGUUAAAAGAAAAUCCGUGAUUCCAGAGAGAGGAAAAUCCAUCCAUUUACAUGUGCAUUAGCAAACCAUAAGAACUUGAUGAGUCGAGUUUGAAAGGGCAAACAGAGGUGUAAUAGACAAUAGUAAUACUGGAAGUAGCAACAAACAGUUCUUUCACCGCCAUGAAAUUCACUCAAUGAAAUAACACAUUGAAUAAAAUUAUAAAACAUAGACAUGUACCAUUGAGAAUCUAUUUAAUUUAAAUACUUAUAGAAAAUUGAUGAUGGAGACUAAAAUAGAUCUUAUUCUUUGACUGAGAUAAUAUCGGACCUACUUCCUUUUAUUCACCUUUGGUGCAAUUUAUUCAACAAAAAAGAAAACCCAAAACCCUUCCCAUCGUGUCAUAUUCCAAAUUCUAAAUGUUCGUUGAUAAAAAUUUCUAAAAGCAUCAAAUGAAGCUAAGAAUUGCUAAUUACCAAAAAAGUAGCAACAUUUGUUUAUAUUGUUGUCACAAAACACUAAAUGGAAAAAGCAUCAGAAUCAGUAAAAACACCUGUCUUUACUAAAGACUAUAGGAGUGGGGCUGGGGCUGGGGCUCGGGCUCGGGCUUGAGCUAACCUGAGGCUUCUUUGAAUCCAUGCAUGAACAGCAAAGUAGCAUGGCAAUACCAGUGUCUGAUUCAGGAAUUCGACCUACAAUGUAAUGAGUUAAAUAUGUAAAUAUUUGACUGUUGGGUGUAGCAACCAAGUAGAUAAACUGCAUGACAAGCUAACCAAAAAUAAAAAGCAACCUUUGCAAUUCAAGCAGAUAGCAGUUCUCUUUACCAAGGAACGACCAAUUGCACUUUGGAUGAAUUCUUCUGUCUGGUCAAAAGAAAAAUUUUGGCAUGCAUUCAUGAUAUCCCGGAGGGUAUUCCCAGUCUCCAAGUAAAUGUACUCUGGUGGACGUUUAUUUGAGCUACCGGCAUGUAGUUCAAAUAAAGUAGGAGAAACAACCUGCAUUAUUCAGAUAUGAAUUAAAAAAAUCCUCGAACAUUUUCAUGUAUCUAACCAUAAACAAAACUUACUUCUUUUCCUUUGCAGUUGUUACAGAAACAAAUUAUCCCAGAGCCACUGAUUACUCCUCCAAGCCCAGUUUCUCCUAGUGCUUUGAUCUACAACGAGUCAGCAGAAGAAGGUAAGACAAAAGAGACAUUUUAGUUGACAAAAAUUGGAAGCUAAUACAAUUUGAACCAAUACCUUAGAACCUCUGAUGUAUCUUACUCGAAGUCCCUCCAAAAUACCUGUAUCCAGAAGGUCUUUUAACUUGGCGGGAAACUUCUUAGCAGACACUUUCUUCAGCUUUGUCUUUCCAAUCUUCACCGGAGGUGUAGCUAAGGGGCCAGGAAUAUCCUCAGGUUUGGUUUCAGUAUCAUUCGUGAUUACUUGCAUUGCCACACCCGUAUUACAUUUUGAAAGAUGUUCUAAGGACGUGGGCUCCACAUUCUGUUUUAAGGCCGAACGAGUAAACCUCUUGCGAGGCUGCUGAAACAUCUUCUUUCCCAACUGACCAUUAACAUCAAUGAUCGACUUCGACCCAUUAGCUGCUUCCUCUGAGGAAACAUUUUUACCCGCCUUCCCUAAAUCCGCACAUGUCGAAAGCUCUUCAGAUUCAUUCCUCAAGGUUUCCUUAGAUUCUUCCUCAUACGAGGGAUCCACUUUUACAUCGACCAAUUCGCUGUGUAUUGCUAAAUCCACAGUACGAUGGCUGCUUGGAUCCUCACUAUCCAAUAGUUCCUCCUUCGAUUCUUCUAUACGAAUUGCAUCCAAUUUCUCGUCCUUAGUUCCAGUAUCACCCGUAGAUUCAUCAACCUGACUCUUGGGUUCUUCAUCGCUUAUAAGGUCUACAAUAUCACUCUUGGCUUCCUCUUCACUCAUUGAAUCCGCCAUGUCCUCCAUUAUCUUCACCUUCUCAACCUCCCCCACCUCGCAACUCCUUAACUGGGCAGCCUCAUCCGAUUCCUCAUCUUCCUCCUCACCUUCUUUGGCCUCCAUCGUCCCUAACCCCUUUAACCUCUUCGGGGUGGGACUCUCCGGAAUCGCAUUAUGUAACUUCGUGGAACGAGUCCGACCUAAUGAUCCACAAAUCGUCGAUUGAACUUUCAAAGCAAAUGCAAACUCACGCUUCAGACCAGUCCGGACUCGUGAUAACACCACGAACUCAUCCGGAGCCGUACCGUUCGCCAUAUACCAUAUAGAUCAAUUAACCCCCCUCAAAUUAUUCCAGUUAUACAGAUUUCAAAAAUGAAUUAUCAAACUAAAACAAGAACACAAUAACGGUAACGUAAUACAUCCCUGACGCCUGUGAUUGAUUAGAUUUCAAUGACGUUACCAAUCGGAUAACCCCAGAUAAACAAACCAAUUAUGAUUUCAUUCUUUUGAUGAAACAACGCAGCAGAUAGGAGAACAUGAAAGGAAAAAAAACACACACGCACGCAAACUCAAAAAAAACGAAACAAAAACUAGGGUUUGCUGAACGUCGUGAUUUGAUAUUUUGGGUUAGGAAAGAAGGAGAAAAGAAUGGAGGGCACUGAGUCGGUUUCUUGGAAGAAGGUAAAACGAAAAAGGGAGAAGACAGAACCAGUUUUUGAUAAUACCGAAGAUGGCCUUAGAUAGACGACGGCGUAAAAUGAUUAGGGUAAUUAAACGACGUAGUAUAGGUGAAUGUUGUUGAGGGUAAUUUGGUAAGUGAAAAUAAACAGAAACGCAAUUGCUUCGACCACGCAGCUCCACGUUGUAAAAUAAAUAUUUGUUUAUUUUUGUGUGAAAAGAAGUUUUUUGAAAAACGAGAAUUUUCGCGGCUUAGACCUGAAGAGGAUCUUUACAUACACAUAGAAAGAAUCGCGUGCCACCCAAUCACAGCUUGCCAAAUAUAUAUUUUCUUUUUUAAUUUUCUAAUAUCCGCCGUGGAAUUCGCGGGAGAUUUACCGGAACUGGGCCGGAUUCACAGUUGGGAUGUAUAAGGCCCAUUUCACGAAUAUAUGAACCUCAACCGUCUUGGUUCGGGUCGGUUUACCUUCAGCUACCGUCCACUCGAAUCAGACCGCUCCGGUUCGGUAUUGGGCUUACAUGUAAAUUAUCUCAUUUCUUUUAGUCAUAUUAAACCUAAAAUAGUUCAAAUGUUGAAUUUAUUACUCUAUGUGGUUCUUGUAAAUAUGUUGACUUUUUAUUAUAGGUUUAGGUUUAAUAUUCUUUCCUUCUUGGCUAAAUAAAAACGAAUAGCUAUUCUCAUCUCGUUUUAUUAAUGUGUUAUGUUAUAGUAAACUUCUAAAUUAACAAUUAAAAUUUUAAAUUUUCUUUAAAUUAAAUAAAGGUAACGACACAUAAGUAAACAUGAAAUGAUAUAGAAUUCUUUAUUUUCACAUUUGGGCAGAAAACGUACUAUUUAAGUGGUUUUAAAAAAUAAACAAAAUCCACUCUACAUAAAUUUCAAGAUGUUUUUCCAAAGCAAAAACUUAUUUCCACUCUAAUUCUAGUAACUCGUACUAACGUGUUUUUCAACAAAAAUGGAUGGAAUGGUAUAUUAAUAUCAAGAUUUUGAGGUUGGUAAUGUACUAUUGAUGUCAAUUAAACUUUCUUAAAUUUAAAAAUUAUUGUCGAUAUUCAUUGAAUUUAAUGAUGCUGAAUCGACUCCGUAGUUAUCUAUAUAGAAAGUUGAGGAAAGUAAUUUGGACUAAGGAUAGAAUUUUAUUAUUGUCAUUCAAAAUCCAUGGAUUACUUUGAUGGUUUUGGCUUUCUAUAAUAAAUUAAAUUAAUUUGAUAAUUGAGGUAGGGUUGAAUCUUUAAUCAAUAAUUUAUUGCUCUAUAAACUCUACAAUUAGUGUAUGAUGCAAUAUUUCUAUUUCCUUUAAAUCAAAUAUAGCAUGUCAAUUAUUUACAUAUAAUACUUAUCUUCUGUCGUGUUUCAAUUAAUGUUUACGUGGAUUCGUGGAUUCGUUAAUGUAUACUUUGAACAAAUCUUUAAUAGAAACAUGAAUAUAACAAUGAUAUAAAAUAAACACAAAAUAACAAUAAAUACAUGUUUAAUUGAGAUUAGAUGUUCAAUCAUUCAUACAUGUUUCCUCUUAUACUAAAAGAACAAGUAACUUGUUUUUCAAAUUUAUUUUUUCAAACUCAAACCAUUUUAUCAACGGAUUUCAAUUAAAUAAAAAUCAGGUCAUAUCAAAAUGCUUAUAAGACACGUCAAAAUUUUAGAUUAUAUGAAUGUUUACCGGUUGCUAAAAAUGGUUGAAAAGCAUUUUCCAAAAAAAAAAAAUUCACAAAUUUAUUUAUUUUCAGUCCAAAUCAAAAGGCGUUUGUAUUACUCUUUUACUUAUAUAGUAUUUUUAUCCUCCAACAUGAUUCUACAUGCAAAAUCUACUUUAAUAAACUUAUACCACUUUAUUUUCUUUUUAUUUUUUGUCUUAAGCUAAACCCAUGCAAGAUAAACUUCAGAUCUAGUACAUAAUUUAAUAACUAUUUUUAUCUUAAUAUUCAAUAACCAUGAUUAUAUAUUUCAAUAUUGACAAUUAAAAAGUAAAAUUUAAACUAAAAUCUUCAUUUACUCGAAGAAAAAAGAUCACACAAGUUCACAAAAAAAAGAUUCAAAUUCGAGUAUCAAAAGGAUCCUCCAUAGUUUGAUGUACACCCCCAAGUAGUUGAGGGAAAAUAUGAAUAGUUUUGAACAAAUAGAACGGAAUCACAUCUGAAAAGAUGAAAUAGAGAGAAAAAAAAGUCGAUCUUAUUUUUCUCUGAAUUUAUUUUAUAAAUUAUUUCCCAUUUAUUAACCAACCAAAUCAAACUUCCCAAAAACAAAAAAAAAAAAACUAAAAUAUUGCACUCAGAUUUCCAUCACAGCUGAGAGACGUCACAAAUUCACAUCCAAUAAAUUAAAAGCCACAACACAAAAAUGCAUAUUUAUUUUUGAAACAUUAAAGUCAACAAGUAGUGAUAAUUAGCAGAAAGAAAAGACGAAGAAAAAAAAGGAUAAUCAACCUGGGAAUUGAGAGGAAAUUCCAAAGGUAUAAAAAUGCCAAAAGGAUUAGAAUUGCCCUGCAAACAAUAGCUAGCUAGACUUCAGCUGCUGCUUUAGCCCCCACUUCAACUACUUUUCCUCCGCCACCUCCGACCGCCGUUACCUGAGAUAUGUAUCGAUUAAAACACUACGGCUAGUCAUAAAGAGGCGGGCGAGGCGAUGGGCGCCGGCGCCACCGGUGGUUGUGUUGGAAGGAGAGAUUAUUAAAAAGGUGAGAGAGGGGUAGUGGGUUUGUUGUAGAGAAGAGUUAUUGGUUUGAAGCAUCUUGGAGGGUAUAUGCGUCAGUUCCUCGCAUGGAAACAGGGGACUUGUCGCAUCGGUCACUUCUGUUCCCUGUAUAGUUUAGAAUGUAACUGAGAAAAAUAAAUGGGUUUCAAAGGCUGGAUCCGGUCACCCGGUUGUGACCCAUUAUUCGGGUUUUGUAUUUUGAAACACAAGAUUGUCUACUCA